rnacentral:lncRNA from 1 species
CAAGGUGAACCUUUUGUGGCCCCACCAUUUGGUACACCACCUCUUAAUGCUUUUGACUCACAUGGUGCACCAUGACAUGGCCCAGAAAAUCAUUCGGAUCAGCAGCGUUCUGCAAAUAUGGUGGACUAUCAUGCUGAUAGUAGACGGCUAGAUUGUAGGGCCCCAGGCCUUGAUUCCACAUCAACAUUCAGCUUGCGUUGUGAAAGGUUAAAGCCUGUGCAAGAUGAACAUUUGAAUCAGUUCUGUGGAUCACGCUUAUCAGAUUGGUGCUUGAGGACAAUUUGAAGAAGAUCUUAAACAAUUUCCUAGGCCUUCUCAUUUGGAUACUGAGCCUGUUCCGAAAUUUGGGAGCCACUUCUGCUCAUCCAGACCCCUUGAUAGAGGUCCUCAUGGUUUUGGUAUUGAUACGGGACCAUGGGCUCAUGAGAAGGAACCUCAUGGGUUGAAUUUUGAUCCAGUGAUUGGCUCUGGUCCUUCUCGAAUCUUGCCACCAUAUCAACCUGAUGAUGGAGGAGAAAGACCAGUUGGUGUUCCAAAAGAUACUCUAGGCAGAACAAAUUUUCUUGGAACAGUUCCUAGCAAUGGUCAGCAUCAUGUAGAUGGUUUUGUUCCUAGGAGUCAAGGCAGAGAAUAUCCUGGCAAAUCUGUGCACGGAUUUGGAGACCAUCCUGGUAAUGAGAUAGAUGGCAGGGAAUGCCGAUUCAAUGAUAGGUUUUCAGGUUUGCCUGAACAUCUACAUGGGGGUGGAUUUGAGAGUUCUGAUCACAUGGCAAAGCAUUGGAGGAGUUUUGAUAUGAUUGGUCCAGAUAUUCGGCCUCUGCACUUUAGAAGGGGUGAACAUUUGGUUCAUCCUAACAUGCCUGGUCAUUUGCAGAUGGGAAAACCUAUUGGCUUUGGUGAUUUAUCUAGUCAUGAACGAAUGGGAGAAUUUGGUGGGCCCGGAAACUUCCGUCAAUCACGACUUGGUGAGCCAGGUUUUAGAAGCAGCUUUUCACUUCGAAAAUUUCCUAAUGAUGGUGGAAUCUAUACAGUUAAGUGUUGGUUUUUUUCGAAUUUGUGUCAAUUAUGUUGAGUGAAAAUGCUGCUUAUUCAUCAUGUUUCUAUGUGAAUAGAAUCUAUGUAUUCUUGCGAGUGUAUAUCAUUGAGUUCCUUUUGUUUCUGCACCUUCUGCCCUAUUCUUGACUGUAUGUGAUUUCAGGGUGAUAUGGAAUCAUUUGAAAAUUUAGAAAGAGAAAACCAAUGAGCAUGGGUUGGUGCCGCAUUUGUAGAGUAGACUGUGAAACCGUUGAAGGCUUGGACCUGCACUCACAAACAAGGGAGCGCCAGAAGAUGGCUAUGGAUAUGGUUGUUACCAUCAAACAAAAUGCAAUGAAACAGAAACUGUGAGUUAUCUGUGGCCAUAUUGUGCAUGGUGGUAUCCAAACCUUGAUUUGCUUAUGGGUCUAUUUUUUUUUAUGUUGCUUUGUUUUGUAGAACCUCCGGUGAUCACUCCAUACACAAUGAUUCAAACAAAUCAAAUAAUACAAAAUUGAAGGCCGUUUGAAUAAGCAUUGAGUCUUGAUGUGUGCUGUCUUAUAGAUUGUGGUUAUUCCAUUUCUGGCUUGGGAUUCAAUUUGUUGGUUUGGUGUUUGGCACAUAGUGAUGUAGGUCACUCACCCUUCAAUGGAUCUCUUCUACUUCUGGGUGGUUUAUGCUGGUCCUGUCAUUUCAGGUUGCUGCCAUGUUAAUGGUGAUAGUUUUUGGAACUGAAGUUUGGUGGCAGUUAAGUUUGUUGGUUUUUUAUUUUUUGAUAUGAUAUCUUUGCUUUUAUAACUUUAGUAUUUUUUUGUCAACUCCAGCAUUGUCUAGUUAAAAAUGUUUUUCUAUAUCAGAUUGUUUUUAACUAGUGCUUACUUUGCUUGUGAGAUGGUAUACUUUCCUAUAUAUGUGUCUAUAUUUAGUUUUCUUAUCCCUAGUUUUCUUAGUUAAGCUUUUGAAUUUUGUUUCAAUCAAAUGCUUCCUCAAUCUUUCUUAUUUUAUUUUAGGAUUAGAGUCUUUUUGUUACACCGGGUGGGAUUUGACUGAACAAACUGUUUUCCUUCCUGAGUCAUUGUUGAACUCAGCAUGCAACCUUUGCCACUUUUAUCUUUCUUUUAUAACAAAGGUUGUUGAUUAUCCAUUGGCAUUUGUCCAACUAUCUUUUUAUUGCCUAGAUGCUUUUGCUCUAUUUACUUUUCUUGCCCCUUGAAUUUUCAAAGGAUAAAACAUAAGCUAUACUGGAAUUUAAAAUAUUAACAAAGUAUUAUGAGUCAGCUGUAGAUGACUGAACAAGUGUACAUAAUGUGGUGAAGUUUAUAUGGGAACUUGUUCUUAAAUUGCUGUAAACAAGUAGCCUAAUUGUGGCAUCAAAUUCUUUCUAUAAUUAAUUUCUAAGUUAUAUAGUUAUAAAAGUUGUAUUUGAAAUUUAGUGUUUUGAAAACAUCUUCUUAGAUUUUGUAAACUUCAACUACUGUGGUCUUAUCUAAAUAUUAGUUCUCAAGAUUAAUCUGUUAUCAAAUGGUUGAUGUCUUGUGCAUGAAUUCCAUUAAAAUAAGGGGGGCUCCAAUUAAUGCUAAAAUAUGUUGACAGUUACAUCUGGUUACAGCUAAUCAAUAGAAUUUUUUAUGCCAAAAAAUAUUAAUAAUGCAACAUAUUCUGGAUUCUGGAUAUUAUUAGUUCCUUGCCAUAUUUGUAACUAGGAUCCUUUAAUGCACUGUAUUAAUUUGCUAGGAAAAUGAUUGUGCUAUAGAUUGCUAUCCUAUGGGCCCAAAGCAUUUUAUCUUUAUCAUCUUGGCAAGUUUAUGAUAUAAAUUCAACUUGAGGAUCUAUGUAUGCUUUACUGGUGGAAAAGAUUAUUGUAAUGGCAUGGUCAUCAAAAUGGGACCUGCAUGGUCAUUGAAUUGAAGUCCUGAAACAUAAAAAUUAGAAGCAUAAACCAAAGAUUGUUGGCUUUUAUACUCUGUAGCUUUUUUAUGUUACCUCUUAAAGUGUAUGAACUUUUCAAGACUUAGGCUAUGAGAGGUAGAUCUUUCUUGAUGGAGGAUAAUCACUUUUGUUGUAAUGAAUAAGCCCCUGGUUAAGACUGUUCAACAGCAUAUAACUAGCUAGGGGGGGAAUUGUCUCCAUCCUUUGAUGGCUUAUUUUCAACCUCCGAAUUUAUGAUACUAUCGUAGGUUCAAUAUCCUUGACAUAAAAAAAUUUAUAUUUCUUCUAGCUGGAAUUCCAAGAAAAUUUUAUCCAAGUUAUUGCUAUUUAGGUGCUUGGUUCCAUUAGUUCUAAAUUCUAAUACUAAAAUAAUUUCCUUUAGUUAUCUUUUACUUUUUCUCAGGUCCAAUGUUCUUUUAAACUUGAUAGAAUUGAUUUCGAUACUGGUGGAAUUUCUUUUUUUUUUUUUUCUAUGAUAGAUUUUUUCAAUUCAACCUCUCUUUUUUCAGUGAAGCAGACGACAUAAUGGCUGAAAGUUCAGUGGGAAGGUUUUGACAAUCAUCUUUUUUAGAUGUGGCAAGAGUGUGUUCAGUUGUAAUAUUGUUUUUUUUCCCUUUCAACUGCUUGGUAUUUUAUGUGUUGCUUUUUUGUCACCCUGAUUUUGUUUUCUGUUCUCUUUUAAAAUCUUUUACGUUUUUCAUGUCAAGUGCUUAGUUGUGGGAAAUUUGUGGUAGUUUAAGUGAUGUUGGAAUUGAGAGGCUGAUAAAAAUGUUAGUUAAGAGUGUAAGUUAUUUCUUAAAAUGUAUACUAGAAUUACUUUUUUUCAGUAAGUGAAACUGUAAGUAGAAUUGUUUGCCAACUGCAGGAUAUCAGUUUAGGACGGUUCUGGAACAAGGCCCUUUUGUUGGAUACCUGGAUUUAGCUAGGUUAUUGAGUACCCUCUGUUCUAGUUUAAGAGUGCCUCAUUCCCUUGAGAAAGGGAUUUUAAAGCUUAGGCUAAGAGUCCAAGUAGACUUGCAUGCUAGGAUGUACUUGCUUGAGCCAAGGGUUGAGCUGGGGCUUGGUCUAUGUUAGGAUGGACAAGAACAGACCUACUAUUCAUGUUUAAUAUGACUUUUCUUUGGAAUGUUAUAUUUGUUAGGAUCUGUCUUGCCAUACUUGUGGAUGUUGACUGUAAAUGUCAUUUCCUUAGAAAAGAAAGUGUUAGUCUUGUUAUUUUAACCUUGCUUUGUAGGUUCUUUGAUGUUUUGAUAAUAGGAUCUGACAUAUGGCUUCAAUUUCCGAAUAUUGGUGGUUUUGUUAGCCUUCCUUUCUGUCAUGAUACUAUGUGUGUGGAUCAGUCUGUUUUGACUUAGACUCAUGCAGUUAUAAUUGCUAUGAUAUCCUAGAGGCAUUAUUGUAAUAUACUCAUUGACUUUUAUUAGUUUAUUAACUAUAUUUCUUAUGUGCAUAAUGGUUAGUUUCUAUGUACAGUUGCUCAGUCAUACCUGAGAUGUUUAAAGCAAAUAGUCGAGCAGAAUUGGGCUAAUAAUAUGAUUAUCUUCCAACAAUUCUAAAUUAUUCUCAUUCAUUUGUUAUCUUCAAUUUGGUAAGGUGAGAACAUUGAUUGUCUGUAUCUGCGGGACAUAAUAAAGUAUUCAUGAAAAUUAAUUACCAAUAAACAUAAAUCUGAGACAUGCAAAUAAACUAUCAAGUAGAAUAUGCCCAGUGUUCAAUUAUUUUCUAAGGCAUUAUCUUAUGGGCCUUUGACUUCUAAGUUCACAUAAGCUCAAAUUACUAUAGUUCAAGAAUAUAGCUGUUAACUUAAUCAUAUUGUAGGAUGUUUGUUGCCUGCCUAAAUCAUUCCGAGGUGAAAUUUCAAACUGGAAACUUUAGUGCUUUAAUACUCAUGAUACUAGUUCUAUGAUCAAAGAGUUACAUAAAUAAUGAUUUCAAGGAGUGUAAUUAAGCAAUUGUAUUUGUUUCUCUCUGAUUUUAACUUUGGUUGAAUUUGCAUCAUGAAUCCUUUGCAAAUGCUUAUUGCGUCAUAAAACUUCCAUGUAUGCAAAAUUUCUACUUCUUUGAAGCUGGUUAACCCUUUUUCAAUGUCGGAUGGCAAUUCUGAACUGCAAAUCCCGCAUCUUCCCUUGUGUUUCUGACCAGGUUUGUGAUUUUUUCAUGAUCAUUAUGUGGUUGAAUCUGCAACCCUAAUGAUAGUUCCUCUUUUUGCUUGUUUGUUCGCUUUUUUUAUUUCAAGAUCUAAGGCCUUUCACCUGUCUGUUAUUAUAUAAAAGUUGCUUUUUUUCUUGGAGUAGUGUUUGAAGUUCAAAUUGUGAAGCCAUAUUAGGUAGUAUAGUAUGCUAGACAAAGAUCCUUGACCUUUAUGUUGGCAUGGAAUUUACCGAUUUGGUUAAGGCAAUGGCUAGUGGUUAUCUUUUAUACACGCGCGAGGGUGCACAAGUCUUAACCGGUGGUGCUAUGUAGAACAGGUUGGUGCUUAGUGCUAUGAAGGGAUUUUUUUUCAUGGUUUAUAGAGAGAAAAGCUUUUAGGCCAGCAGUUGAUCUUAUUGGAGUUUUAAGAUAAAAAAAUUCAAAAUGUUGGCUCGAAUUGCUUGAAAUUCUUGGAAACAGCAAACAUAGAUAUAAUGAUAAAAAAAGAUGUGGUGCAUCAACCUAGUAAAACAUAAAAUUACCAAAAAAAAAAAAAAAAAGGCUCUGAGCAACAAAACUUGAAUAAAUACAUUCACAUGUGGUGCAUGUGUAAAUUAAUUGGGUGUAGGAAUCAAGCCUUUUAUGUUAAAGUAAAUACUUGGCCAGAGUAAGAGAGAAUUGUUGGGGAGCUAGGAGGAAAAAAAAAAAGAAAUAAAUUUUGGAGAAUAUGCAUGGAUUCGACCCUUGUUUUAAGUAAUGAUAAAAGGGAAAACAAUAAUCUUCCAAAGUUUUAGGUGGAUGCUAAAAGGUAAUUAAUAGUAAGACAUAAAAAAAAUAAAACCUGUUAUAUUUAUUAUUAGAUAGAAAGCUAUAUCUGAACCUUUUCCUUUGUCAAAAUUUGGGUUUGGAAAUAAAUCAUGGGUGGAAUAGAAAGUUUGUAGUUUUCAACUCUUUUACCCAUCAUGUUUUUUUAUUCAAGAUAAGGGAUUGGUUUGUUUCUGAUUACUAAGACUGAUGAUGUGUUGUGGACUCUUCAAGUUUUUUCCUUUUUUUGGAGGCUAAACGGGAGCUACUGUUUAUUAUUGGGCCUUUGGGCUGAAUGGCUCAUCUAGCGUGCAGUGCAGUGCGAUGGAAUCUCGUUUAAUGGUUGUAUUUUCAGGGCUAAUGACUCGUGCAUUUCAAAUGUCUGAUUAACUAUACUAAUACCUGUUUUAAGCCUUUUUGCCUGUCUUGGUAGAGCGAAUAUUAGAGAAUGAAGGAGUUGAUUCUUAAGCGGCUGAGAAGUUCCUUUGUUCCUUGGAAACUUGUGAAGCAAAAGAACCCAUCCAUCAAGCCUUGGAUAGGGAAGAAUAGAAUAGAAGACGAAAAAUGAGAUACUCUACGUCUGUGGUGAAUCCCCUCUUAUUUAUUUUAGUGGGUGUGUGUAUAUGAAAACUUAAAUAAGAGUAAAUUAGUUUCCGUUUUUGGUGAUUUAAUAAUAACAUUUAUUAUCCACUAAAUAAUUGACUGAACCAUUUCUGCUUAUUAUUAUAAUAAUAAUAAUAAUUAUUAUUAUAGACCGCUUAACCAAAAAUAUUGUUCUUUCAAUUGAAAUCGUGAAAUGAGAAUCUUGUUCUUAAAAUAAAAUAUAAUAUUAAUAAUAAUUUGUGAAACAGCUAUGAAGGAAAGGGUUCCAAUUUUCUUUUUCAAAUAAAAAAAAUUUAUUAUUGAAGAUGGAUGGGAUGAUAUGAAUAUUAAGUAGAGUUUACGGUAGACAAUUUAAUUUAUCUUCGGUGGGUUCAUUUGAUUUAAUUUUAUAAGGUUAAAUAUUUUUUAAAAAUAAUUUUUGUGUCGUGUAGAUCAGAUUCGAUUCUAUGAUAUUAUAUAAAAAAUUAUUUUUUAAUUAUUUAAUUAUAUAUUUAUAUAAUUAUAUAAUUAAAUAUUUAUAUUUAAAAAUUAAUAUUUUAUUAAUUUAACUUAAAUAAGAUCAGAUAUAAUUUAUAUAAUAUUAAAUUAAGUUAAAUUUGAAUAUAAAAAAUAAAAAAAAAUUAAAUUAGAUUGAAUUUAAAUUUAAUAAAUAUAAAAUUAAAUCAAAUUAAAAAAGAAUAAAUAUUUAUCUCGAUUCGUUUGUAAAGUUACAUCAACUAACUACUAUAAUAAAAAAAAUAAUUAAAUAAUAAACCCAUAAAGAGAAGAAAAGAAUAUUUACUCGAUAUUAGUGUCACAAGCAGUUUGACAACUGUUCUUUAUUACCCUAAAGACUAAAGGGCGCCUUCCUCGCCUUGAAUUCAGCUAGCUGACAAUUGCUGCCAGCUGUCUCCGCUAUUUUGAAUUUUAAAACUUUUGGUAGCCGUUGCCUUGUUUCCACCCGUUAUAAAACAAAUUCUCUGACACCGCCUCGUAAAAACCAUUCAUUUAUUAAAAAAAAAUUUACUGGUACAGUAGAAAAUUCUAAAAAUAAAUAACCCUAGCUUAGAUUAGCCAUCUCCUCUUCUCUGAAUCUGAAUAUAAACCCCCCUUUCCCCUAUUUUCACCAACUUCAAUUCCUAUCUAUCUCUAUUCAGACCAAAGAACCCUCAAAACCCAAAGAAAAAAAUGCGUGAAAUCCUUCAUAUUCAGGGAGGCCAAUGCGGCAACCAAAUAGGAGCCAAGUUCUGGGAAGUUGUGUGUGCAGAGCACGGCAUUGAUGCAACUGGACAUUACCAAGGAGACUUAGACGUUCAACUUGAGAGGAUCAAUGUCUAUUACAAUGAAGCCAGUUGUGGUAGAUUCGUCCCUCGUGCCGUUCUCAUGGACCUUGAACCUGGAACCAUGGACAGCAUUAGAUCUGGCCCUGUUGGCCAGAUCUUCAGACCUGACAACUUCGUUUUUGGUCAGUCUGGCGCUGGUAACAACUGGGCUAAAGGCCAUUACACUGAAGGUGCUGAGUUAAUCGACUCCGUCCUUGAUGUUGUCCGAAAAGAGGCCGAAAACUGCGAUUGCCUUCAAGGUAACUGUGCUGGGAAGCCUGACAAUAAAAAAAAAAAAAAAGAUCUAAAGAAACUUGUUUAAGUUCUUCUGCUUGUUAAAUGAUUUUUAUUGUUUUCUGUAGGGUUUCAAGUUUGUCAUUCUUUGGGAGGAGGAACUGGAUCUGGAAUGGGGACACUUUUGAUUUCGAAGAUAAGGGAGGAAUACCCAGAUAGAAUGAUGUUGACUUUCUCAGUUUUCCCAUCUCCCAAGGUCUCUGAUACAGUCGUGGAGCCAUACAAUGCUACUUUAUCUGUUCAUCAGUUGGUUGAAAAUGCUGAUGAGUGUAUGGUUCUUGACAAUGAAGCCUUGUACGACAUUUGUUUCCGGACACUCAAGCUCACCACUCCCAGCUGUAAGUAUUCCCCUGAUUUAUACUUGGUUUAUUUAUAUCAUCAAUAAAACCAUUGUUUUGCAUUGAAUUGUUGAUUAGUGUUUAUGUAGUUAGUGCGGAAAAGAAGCCUUUUUGUGGUUUGGUGUAAUAUGGAAAUAUCGUUGUGGAAUAUCAUGGCUCAUGGCUAUUGCCUUUUAUUUCAAAGUUUAAUAGUGAUCAUUCUGUGCUGUUGUGAGCUCUUGCCAUCUAAACUGGUUUGCUAUAUCACUAAAAUCAAAUUAGUAAGAGCUAAAGAUUUGGUUUUUUGGCUUGAGGAUCUUCGAAUGUCUUACAUUUUCCGUUAUUUUCUUUUUUGAUCUAUGACAGUUGGUGAUCUGAAUCAUUUGAUAUCUGCAACAAUGUCUGGAGUUACAUGCUGUUUACGAUUCCCUGGCCAGCUCAACUCUGAUCUUAGGAAACUGGCUGUUAAUCUUAUCCCAUUUCCUCGGCUUCACUUUUUUAUGGUGGGUUUUGCUCCACUCACUUCAAGAGGAUCCCAACAGUACCGAGCCCUAACAGUUCCUGAGCUCACUCAGCAAAUGUGGGAUGCAAAGAACAUGAUGUGUGCUGCUGAUCCACGACAUGGCCGUUACUUGACUGCAUCAGCCAUGUUCCGUGGUAAAAUGAGCACCAAGGAAGUGGAUGAGCAGAUGUUGAAUGUUCAGAACAAGAAUUCCUCCUACUUUGUUGAGUGGAUUCCUAACAAUGUAAAGUCAACAGUUUGUGACAUCCCACCCACUGGACUCAAGAUGGCCGCAACAUUUAUGGGCAACUCAACAUCCAUACAGGAGAUGUUUAGGCGUGUGAGUGAGCAGUUUACAGCUAUGUUUAGGAGGAAGGCCUUCUUGCAUUGGUAUACAGGGGAAGGCAUGGAUGAGAUGGAGUUUACUGAGGCAGAGAGCAACAUGAAUGAUCUGGUCUCCGAGUAUCAGCAGUACCAAGAUGCAACAGCUGAUGAUGAAGAGUAUGAGGAAGAGGAAGCAGAAUACGAGGACUAAUGAGGAAACUUAUUUUCUAUGGCCAUUUUUGGCUAUUCAAAAUCUCAACUUCUAGUUGCUGUUUUCUUUAUGUGAAAGAAUUAUUCAUUUUGUUGUAACUGUUGUUGCAUUUAUGGAGUUUCAAUUUCGCUGAGAUCCCUUGGUGGUAUCAUUUCUUGAGUUUUUGAUGCUAAUACUUGCAUCCUCUUUCAGCAAAACCAUGUACCUUUCCUUUCAGGUUUCUAGAUAAACUCUUUUGCUGCAUUUGCUCAAUAAUAUUGAUUUCAUACACACCAUUAAAAAAAAAAAAAAGAUUGAAUGAGUUGAUUAAAAACCAAAACAUAAUGCUUACCAGAAAAUCUAGUUUUCAGGAUUCAACUACUACAAAGGCAUACCAGUCAGUUCUUUCCCUUUGAUUUUUUUUUUUUUUUUAAAUUAUGUUACGUAAAAUCUUCCUCUCCAGCUAUUUUUAUACUUGAGAGAAAACACUCUUGUCCUUGCUUAUUUCCAAUAUUCAUUAUCGGGCAAUGGAUGAAGCUUUUGCUUGUAAGAUAGAGCAGAAUAAUCCUGUUGCAGUUUUCUGUGAAAAUAAAAUAAACUGUUCAAUUUGUCAAUAUUUUAGACAAAAACUCCGAGAAGCUUCAAGCAAUAAUGAUGAAGAAAAAUGAAAAGGCAAGGUUAUUAAACUAGUUUUGUUUCUCUAAAUGAAAAUUACGGAACCAAGAAAAGAAACCAUUUUUAAAGUUUCGUUUAUUUUGCAGAAAAUAAUUUUUGAAAAAUGUUUAUAUUUUUUAAAUUGAAAGAGAUUUUUUGUUGAUUGUAUAAACUUAUGAAAAAUGUUUUACCUUAUUUGAUUGUUUUAUGUAAAAUUUAUUUUUUUCAGUUUUAUGUAAAAUUUAUUUUUUUCAAAAAAAUAUUAAUAUAACUAUUAAAAUAUUAAAAUUAUUUAUUAUUAAAAUAUAUUAAAAUUGUUAAUAUUUAAAAUAAUUAUAUUUUAAUAAUAAUAUUUGAUAUUAAAAUAAUAUGUUAAUAUAAAAAUACUUAAAAUAAAAUUAUUCAUUAUUAUUUAUAAUAUUUAUUAAUAUAUUAAUAUAUUAUUUAUUAAUAUUUUAUUAUUUAUUAAUAUAUUAUAAUAUUACUUAUUAAUAUAUUAUAUAUUAUUUAUUUAUAAAUAAAAUUAUACUCAAAAAGUAUUAAUAUUAAUUUUUUGAAAAUGUUUUGCUUUUUUCAAUUCAUAAGAUAAUUUCUAAAAAAAUAAUUUUACUUUUUGUUGAAUAAUAAGUAAUUUUUGUUAAUCAUCAAAUUUUUAUUAAAUAAAUACUUAAAAAUACGAAAAUUAUUUUUAAAAAUUAUUUUUCACCAAACAGUCUGAGCUUAAAAUUCCAAAUUUAGCCCUUGACUUGAAGUAAGCAGUGGCCUUUUUUUCACUCAGUGGCAUCUUAUUAUUCAGGGCUUUCAAUUUAAAUAUAUAUAUAUAUAUAUAUAUAUUAAAAAAAGCUUUUCUUCUCCCAUUUCCUUGUUUUCAGCUAAUCCUUAAACCCCAACAAGAAAAAGAUUUUUUUUUUUUUCAAAUCUAGUGAGUAAGUUUUUGUGAAACCUUUUUUUCUAAUCAAAUGUUUUCAGUUGAUAGUUGUUGGUCUUUGAUCGAUCUUGUUUAUUACUCAGGGUUUCAAUGGCUGCCAACAACACCCCAGCUGGAAUUAACAAAGAGCAGGUUAGCUAUUUUUUCUGCCAAUUUAUUGUCUGAGAUAGAAGAAAAUUUUAUCUUUUCCACCGAUUAAUUUGAAUUUUUUUUUAUUGAGGUUAGAGUGUUUAAGUAAAUCUUGGAUCUCUAAUCUCAAAGUGUUUGUUAUGAACAACUUGAUUUCCGAGAUUUAUAUCGUUUUGGAGUUUGGGGUUUGGUUGAAAAAUGGUAAUUUUAUUAUUUGUUUCUUUUACUCUCCUGUAUGAUUUGAAAUUCAUGUUUUGAAUGCAGGCCUUUGGCAUGGCAGAAACAGAGAUGGAGUAUAGGGUAGAACUCUUUAACAGGUAAGAGCAAGAUUGCCAAAUUUUAAUUAAUGUGUUAAAUAAAUUACAUUUAGAAGUUAAUAAGAAAUAUUUGUUCAAAAGGUUACUAUCAGAAACAUAUGUAAAUUAUGUUGCGCCUCUUAAACUCCCUGUAUACUCGAUAUAUCUGCCAAGAAAUGAAAAUUCAGAGUUCGGAAUUUGAAAUUGGACCCUAUGACCUGCCUGGCAUGCUUCUUUGUCAUGAUAGUGUGUCAAAUGUUUCCACUACUUGUAAGAUUUUAUUGUCAAUACUCCAGUUUCUGAGUACAGUUUAUUUUUAUGAUUUUCAUUCAGGCUUACACAAACUUGUUUCAACAAAUGUGUUGACAAAAGGUAUGAGAAGCACCAAAACCAUUUCUUUUUGUUUUUGUUGUCCCAUUUAAAAGAUUUACACAUGCUAUACAGUUAUUUUUUCCCCUAACGAAAUGACAUCAAUGAUAAUAUAUUUUUGCCUUAGGUACAAGGAGUCUGAGCUAAACAUGGGUGAAAAUACUUGCAUUGAUCGCUGUGUUUCAAAAUAUUGGCAGGUAGAUUUCAAAAUAUCCGUAAAUAUUCUAAAAUAUGUUUUUAUUAGAGCUUAUAUGACUGCAUCCUCUGGCUUUAUACACAAAAUGUAGAGGCUAAGAUAGCAAGUAGUCUGAGCUAAACAUGGGUGAAAAUACUUGCAUUGAUUGUUGUGUUUCAAAAUAUUGGCAGAUAGGUUUCAAAGUAUUCGUAAAUAUUCUAAAAUGUGUUUUUAUUAGAGUUUAUUGAAGAAAUCUCUAGAAUAAAACUAUUUUAUUCAUCUAUAUUUUUCUCAUUACAAUGCUAGAAUUGCAUGAAAAUAUACAGGCUAAAAACUGAAUACUCUCAACCUUAAAACCCAUGAUUUUCAUGCAUUAAAACAACUAAUCAAAGGAGUAAUUUACUCACUACACAUAAUAAGAAAAUAUCUAAUGGAUUUAGUGUAAUUAUCCAAAUAACUUCUUAUUCUAAAAAUAAGAGACUUAAUUAAAAUAGAUAAAGUUAACUAAUCAAGUAAUAAUAAAGAUUAGAUUUCCUCACUCCCUUCAAGCUGGGUGGUAGAUGUCAAUCAUGCCUAGCUUGGACUUUAGAUUCUCGAAGUUGUUUCGAGAGAGAGCCUUAGUAUGUCUACAGUGUGAAGGCAUGCGGGAGUAUAAAUUACUCUAACAAUUCCUUCCUCUAUCUCCUCUUUGAUGAAGUGACGAUCAAUCUCCACAUGUUUAGUUCUAUCAUGAUGAACAUGAUUCUUGGUUAUACUUAUGGCAGCUUUGUUGUCACAGAAUAUCUUCAUGGAUUCUCCUACAAAGACCUUUAACUCCCCUAGCAACCUUUUCAGCCAAAUUCCCUCACAUGCCACAAGACAUAGCUCUAAAUUCAACUUUUGCGGUACUUCUAGCCACCACAAAUUGCUUCUUGCUUCGCCAAGUAACCAAAUUUCCUCACACAGUAACCAGUAGUUGAUCUUCAGUCAAUAACGGUUCCAGCCCAAUCAACAUCAGAAUAAAUUUCAACAUUUUGGUGUGAUGUCUUCUUAAAAAAUAACCAUUUACCAGGACUUUUCUUUAGGUACUGUAAGAUUCGAUACAUAGCCCUCAAGUGUUCCUCGAUUAGGUUGUUCAUGAAUCUGCUUACCAUGCUAAUUGAAAAAUCGAUAUAUGAUCUUGUAUGAGAGAGGUAGAUGAGCUUCCCAACAAGUCUUUGAUAUCUACGCUUAUCUGUUGGUGGACUUCUUUCUUCCAUUCCUACCUUAUUUAUUGUGUCCAUAGGGGUGUUAGCAGGUUUGCAUCCAAGCAUUCCAGUUUCAUUUAGUAAGUCUAGGAUAUACUUACGCUGUGAAACAGAGAUGCCAUUCCUUGAGUGAGCUACUUCCAUGCCAAGAAAAUAUUUGAGAUGUCCCAAAUCUUUGAUUUCAAAUUCUUUGGGAAUAGACAAGAUGAUUAGAAGGUGAGGAUAGACAAGAUGAUUCAAAAGUGAAGAUAGAAACUGAGAAAGGAUUGGCAAGGGCUUUGAAAUUUCAGGACUUUUAUAAGAUAUGUAGCAGUAAGAACAGCCUUACCCCAAAAAUGCUUAGGUACAUGGGCAGCCGUCAUGAGGGAUCUUGCAACUUUCAACAAAUGUUGAUUCUUUCUUUUAGCAAUGCCAUUCUGUUGAGGAGUGUUGACACAUGAGCUUUGAAGAAUUAUACCAUGCUUCAUUAGAUAUGAUCCAAAAAUUGAAUUGUAAUAUUCUCUCCCAUUGUCAGUUCUUAACACUUGGAUUUUGGUUUUGAAUUGAGUUUGGAUCAUAUUGUUGAAGUUUUGGAAUAACUGGCCCACUUCUAAUUUUUUCUUCAUAAAGAAUACCCAAGUAUCUUGGUGUGAUCAUCAAUAAAUGUGACAAACCAUCUGGAGCCAGUAAUGUUAUUUACUUUGGAGGUAUAUCAUUGAAAAAGGAUGGGAUGUUUUGUAAAGCUGAUUAGGUUAUGUGGUACAACUAUGUUUGGAUAAUUGGCAGACUUCACAUUGAAAGUGGUUAGGAUUUUGAUUGAAUAAUGAGGGAAACAAUCUUUUGAGGUACAAAAACUUUGGAUGACCUAACCGAUAGCAUCACAACAUGAUAGUACUAUCUUUAUUAUUAUUGAAAGAUGAAGCCACACAAGAGGUCUUUUGAUAUUGUCUUUCAGAAUCAUUAGCUCUUAGGAUAUAGAGUCCUGCACACAUCUUAGCAUUGCCAAUCAUUUUCCCCAAAUCCAAAUCCUGAAAUUCACACAUAUUUGAAAGAAAUUUAGUAACAUUUUUACAGUAGAUUGCAACUUAGAUUUGGGAGAAAUAAAACAGAAUCAAUUGUUAUCUCUUUAGAAAUAAUAACAGAACUUGUACCAGUUACUUUUAAAAAUGACCUGUCAGCAAUUCGAAAUAUGAAGUUUUUAUGACAUGAAUUGUAUUUACUAAAUAUAGAUGCAUCCCAAGUCUUAUGGUCUGAAGCUCUUAUGAAUUUGAUUUCUCUAGUUUUACACUCAAAGCACUUAGAAAAUUAUCUUUUUGUGCUAAAGAACUUGUUCGAAUAGGAGUGGUGAUGUUCUCCAGUGAUUGAGAAACGCUAGCUUCAAGGUUAAGAGUAACCUCCGAUACCGAGCUCUUCUUUCUGCUGGCCAUGUUGGACUUCGAGUGUAAAUUUUCAAAAAUUCAGAUCGUGCUCUAAUAUCAUGAAGAAAUCUUUAGAAUAAAACUAUUUUAUUCUUCUAUAUUUUUCUCAUUACAAUGCUAGAAUUACUUGAAAAUAUAUGGGCUAAAGAUUUAAUAUUCUCAACCUUAAAACCCAAGAUUUUCAUGCAUUAAAACUGCUAAUCAAACUAGUAAUUUACACUCUACAAAUAUCUAAUGGAUUUGGUGUAAUUACCCAAAUUACUUCUUAUUCUAAAACUAAGAGACUUAAUUAAAAUAUAUAAAGUCAACUAAUCAAGUAAUAAUGAAUAUUAGAUUUUCACAUUUAUAUGAUUGCAUCCUCUGGCUUUAUAUACAAAAUGUAGAGGGUGGUAUGGUAUGAUAGUAUUAAGUGUAGGAGGUACAAGGAGUCUAAGCUAAACAUGAGUGAAAAUACUUGCAUUGAUCACUGUGUUUCAAAAUAUUGGCAGGUAGGUUUCAAAGUAUCCAUAAAUAUUCUAAAAUGUGUUUUUAUUAGAGUUUAUAUGACUGCAUUCCCUGGCUUUAUAUACAAAAUGUAGAGUGUAGGAUAGUAGGAUAGCAUGGCCCAAUAUGCUUGGUAAAAAGCUCUAUUAUUCAGCUCUUUUCUUGAUUGUGAUAUGAUAGUCUUUACUUUAGAUGUGUUCCAUCUUUGCUUUUUGUUUUUUAGUUGAUGACUGGCAUUUGAUUCUUACACACUAUACAUACAACCUUUCUUAUUUUCUAGGUGAAUGGUAUAAUUGGCCAAAUGCUCAAUGCCGGUGGUCAGCCUCCAAUGUAAAACGCUGCCAUCCUUCAUCGCAAGUUCUGUUUUUACAUGUAAAAGCAUGGCUAGUCCUGCUGUUGGGGAAUGGUGGAGACUGAAACCAAGUACAACAUAUGUCUUUAAUGUCUUUUGGAAUUACAUUUUCUUCGACACAAUGUUAGUUGCAAUACAAUAAAGAUUUUGGUGCUAAACCAGAAGUUCCAUUUGACUCUUAUGCACUAUGCUUGGAGAAGUUUAUGACAUGAAGUACUGCUUUGUUUGCUUACCGGCCCGAUUGCCGAGUUUAAGUUUCUUAUAACUCAGUAUCCAACACCUGUAAGGUUCCAUCCAUAAAAGUAGCACUGCUCUUUGGUGAAUAAACAUGCCAAACUUGCUUGAUAAUGAAAAUAAGCAUUGCUCUUUGGUGAAUUGCAUCGCCCUAAUCGUUAAUCAAUCAGUAGAUAUAUGGGCCAAGGAUGGAUAGGCAGAUCUCCUUGAUGUCAAAUUCAAAAAUGAAAAUUUCUUUCUUAUUAUCAUCUUAAAAUAUAGCAUCCAGAAUGAGAAAUAAAAGAGUACACCAUAACCAGAAUAUGAACGGUAAAGUUACUCUGUGGUGCUGAGGAAACAUGAAGACAGGAAGAUACAAGAGAUAAUUAAAAGUGAAAGGAAAAAAAGGGCCUAUACACUUUCAGUUUCUAUGUUUUUUGGCUUCCAAAUUCGUACCGUCUUUGAGCGUUUCCUGGGCGUCGUUGUCCAUCCCAAGGCUAAACAGAGCAGCAGCCUGGAGAUAGAAUGCUGUGGGCCAUUCAGGAGAUAUUACCUGGGCUUCCAUAGCAUCUCCAAGUGCUUCUUGUGGCAUGUCAUUCAUCAAGUAGCACAAGCAGCGUCUGGAAAACACAGUUGGUGAUACCAUCGUCCCACUAUCAAUGAACUGUAAACGAAAAAUAUUAUUAAACCAUUAAAUGGUUGAAUCUUAAUCAGUAGUUUUGAGUUUUUUGAUUGCAGAUGAUUAAAUGGUUCUGCAGAUUACCAAAUCGUUAACAAAUGACUUACAUGAGUGUAACAUCCGAUGGCUGUUCCAAAGUCUUUUGCUCGAAAAGCAGUAUCUCCACGUUUUUUCGAAUUCAGAGUCUCCUGUAUCUGAUCUGUCCACAUUUGGAAAGAAAGCUGCAAAGCAAACACAUUCAACACCCUUAGCAUAAAGCAAUUUUAUAAAUGGAUCUAUAUCAAAAGUUUGCUUAGAUGAAUUUGAUAUCAAUGCUAAGAAAGUAAUGAAAGCAGUUAUAUUCUUCUAGCAGUUUGAAGGAUGAAGCUGUCAGCAAUAAAGACAAUAAGAACAUGAUAUUUAUGAAGUACAUGUCUUAUUAAAUCAAAAGCGUUUUUGUAAAUGUACCAAUGAGGCUAUCGCUAGCUUUUGUUCCACAUUACAAAAGCAUUAGUCAAAGCCUUCUUUUGAUUUUGAUUUCUUUAACUCAGAUUUCAAACAACAUAAAAGGCAUAGAUUGCUGACCUCAUUUGCAAUCCCCUCAUCAUCUUUGUAUCCAAUCUUCUCCAAUAUUUCAUGUAUUGCAGUAAGAUCCAUUCUUGAGCAUGCUUCUCCCAGAGGUGUCAGUACCAUUGUUUGCAUUGAGGAUGCCGUUCCAUGUGGAAUGCCCAUCAAAACAUGAGAUGGAACCUGUUAAAUAAUACAAGUAAAAAGGUAGCAAAGACUUUUCCCAGAGAAAAAAGGUAAUUCAAGUAAUCAUAUACUUAUGAAUGGCUAAAUAAUGAAACUGAGUUCAGCGCCAAAUGUUUCAGAACAUAAAGAAAAGCUAUGGCUUUAUUUGGUAGAUGCUUUUGCUUUAAAAAUUAAUAGAAAAGAGAAGGAAAAAGAUUAAAAAUGAAUAGAAAACCAAAGGCAAAAAGCAAAAAGUAAAAGCAUUUAUCAAACAGAGCCUACACUUCUUUAUCCAUAUCCUAAAGCUUCAAGCUAGUAGUAAGUAAAUCCAUACAAAUGACAAAAUAACAGAGGGUUUUAUCUGCAACAGCAACUCCAUUGUUGGCCAAAUCUAAAAGAGAUCACUUGUGGUAACAGGGCAUAACUCGAUUUCUAUUUGAAGGUAUUAAUUUUUGGGUAUAGACUUUCUAAAAUAAAAGUUGAAAAUAAGAAAGAAGAGAAAAUAGUGGGGAAUAAUGUGAGAAUACCUCAGUUUCCUUCUGAAGUGGAGUAAGAGCAGUGACAAGAGACUUCACAUUUGGCCUCUCACGAGGUUCAUACUGCAAACAGCGUGAAGCUAACCGCAUUAAUUCAGUUCCAUCAUCAUUUGACAAAUGACCCUCCAGACAUGAGUCCAUUAGUGUCAGAAAGUUUUUCCCGCGUAUUAGGUCCAGUGCCUGCAUGAUGAUAACGAUCCAACCUUUAAGCAUUUAAAUUAUCUCCUAAGGACAUCCUAUGAUGCACUUUAAAUAUCCACAAUUUGAAUAAUUUCUUAUAUUACUAUGUGAAAAGAUUUCAGACAAGACUUCCGUCUUAAUGAAGAUAAAAGCAAGAAAAAAAAAACUCACAUGGCUUGGUGGUAUAUGCUUGCCGCUGAGAAGAUCAAGCAAUAGGGUGCCAAAACUGUAAACCACACUCUCUGGUAUAACCCUUCCUGCCAAGUUAAGGUGUCUAAAUUAGCUUAGCUAGAGAGACAGCAACAUGUUGCAUGAGAACUUAACGUACGCAAAGCUAAAUUCACGUACCCUUUCCCCAAAUAUACAUAUAUACAUACAUACAUACAUAUAUAUAUAUAUAUAUAUACAUAAAUAACAUAGACAGACUGUUACGAUCUGUACAAAAGUUCAUGAAGUUUAUCUGUUAGCAUAGUAUUACCCGUCCUUAAGUACUCUGGAGGGGUGAAAGCCAAGUUUGUACUAUAACUUUUUCCAUCUCUGCUAUUCUUCAUAAGGCCAAAGGUAGAGAGUCGGGGGUCACCGUCCUGUCAAGAACUAACCCAAUGUAAGAGAUAAAAUACAAAUUUCAAAGUGAACAUUAGCAGUAAGGUAACAGGUUCAAAUAUAGAUGAUAAAGAUUAAAAUUACCUGAUCAAACAAGAUUCUAUAAGCAUUAAGGUCAUGGUACAAUGCCCUCCCUCUACUACUGCAAUAUUCAAGCGCUUGCGCUAGAUAUAGCGCCACUCUAAGCCUCAUUGGCCAUCUCAUAUGCUGAUUCUCCCCUAUACCAUUUCAAACAAAUAUAAAACAACUUUUAUAAUCAGUAAGAUAUUCAUUACCAGCACAUUUAUUCCAUAUUCUAAAAGAAAUGAAGAUCUUAUAUAACUACUUCAACUCAUCACCUAUUUCCUAGAGUGUAAUCAAAUCAACUAUGGGUUAUAUAUAUAUAUAUAUAUAUAAAAACUCAAAUGUGAAUUAAAACAAAAGGGAAAUAUUUUAAAGAUAAGAGUGAAAAUUACAGUGAAAAAGAUGCUUAGAGAGAGUCUCAUUAGGCAUAAACUCAGCAACUAACAAUCUGUCAUCUCCUUCACAGCAACAACCAAUCAAAUUCGCCAACCGAUCACUUCUUAAUUGCCCAACCGCCCUCGCUUCCUCCUACAAAUCAACCCAUAGUUACAAAUCAACCCAAGAAAGAAACAUUAAAAUAAAUUGAAUUAAAAUGGAAAAAGUAAAUAUAUACGAGGAACUGUCUAGGAUCAGGCCAAGCCGAUCUAUUGAAGCGUUUAACGGCGAUCAAACGAUCGUCGUCGAGCUUCCCUCGGUAAACUACAUUGGGAGCUUUCUCUCCAUGCUCCGAGACAAUGUUGUCUGCACAGAAUCCUGAGGUGGCGGCUCUUAGCUGGUUCAAGCUGUACUGGCUGAAUCCAGGUAACGCUUCCUUCCCAUUCUCUGAUGUAACAUACCAAAGAAAAUUUUUUCAUUUAUUAAAAAAGAAACAAAGAAAAUAAGAGUAAAAUUUUAUAGGGAAAGUGAUGGAAAAAAGUCAACAAACUAACCGAGGUCGGAGGAGUCGUAGAGGUUUGACUUGAGAUUUGACGGCCACCAGCAAAGUGAUAGUUUGGAGCAACGAGCUCCCAUUGCCUUAAACCUCAAAUUUCAACUUAGCUAAAAAAAAAGGUUUGUUUUUUCGCUUUUCUUUGCUUCGAAAUUUGAGGAGUGGAAGAGCGCAAGAAAAAUGUAAUACUAAAAAAAGGAGAGGGAGUGUUUGGGAAGCGAGAAAGUGAGAGAAAAAAAAUUAAAAAAAAAAAAAAAACUGUAAACUUUUUGGAUCAAAGGUUUCUGCUUCUCUUUCACAUUUUCUUUCACCACCUCAUCAUUCUCUCGUUUCCUCCCGUUUUAUAUUUUAUUUUAUUUUCUUUUUUUAAGUCAAUUUUUUCUGUUUUUUCUCCUUAUCCUAAAUCCAAUCUAUACUUAAUCACGUGGGAUGCACGACCCAAUGAAAUUGGAACCAAUUUCAUGUGCGUGGAUGGAUCUCAAGGGAAAGGGAGAGUGAGAGAAUAAAGUAGUAAGAGAGUCAAAGUCAAAGAGGAAAAUUGAAAAAAAAUACAUAUUUAUGUUUCAGAUCUAGUCUUGUAAUAAGAGGAUGGAUGACAUUAGUAGUAAUGUUUAAGAAAGUGAUGUCUUUGUCAUAAAAUGCAAGAGAUAAUUGAAAAAAAAAUGAUUAAAUUUUAUUUUAGUUAUGAAAUUUGAUAAUUACGGUUAUUAAAUAAUUUGGGAUUGAAAGUAAAACAAAAACAUUAUUAAUAAAACGAUGCGAUGAUGGAAUAACAUUUUUACUUUCAAAUGAAGCAUCAGACUAUAUCACAACUGGGGUGAAUAAAUGUUUGGAUUAAAAGAAUUUCUUUUGCCUUUUUAUGCUAUUUGAUGUAAACAUGAGAUAUGGUUUCUUGGUCCCCUCAGAAUUGAUGAUGGGAUUUUUUUACUUAUUUUUCUAAACAUAAUAAUAUUUUUUAUAACUUUUUUAAAAAUCAAUUAAUCAUGUCUUUAAUUAAAAUUUUGAAGAAUAUAUUAAAUCGAUAAAAAAAUUUGAGAAAGUGUAUUUUGAAGAUAGAUAUUGAUAUUCAGAUAUAACUUACACAAGAUAUUGUUUAGUUAUGAUCAAAAGCUUUCAUAAUUUUUUCUUAUAAAAUCAUUUCGUAAGUUUUGAAUUUAAAUCUUUAUUUGUAUAUCAUAACAGAUUUUUAAAAAUUUUUUAUAUGAGAUUAGAGUGUCAUAAGUUUUUUUCAUUAAAAUUUAAUAUCUUCGACAAACUCAAAACAUAAAUUUUAUCGUUAAAAUUUGACGUUAAAAUCAAAAUCACACCUUGAGAUUUUAGAAGUGACUUCCCCUAUUAAAACUUGACAUUUUCAUCAAAUUUAAAACAUAAACUUCAUCAUUAAAAUUUGACGUCAAAACCAGAAUCACACUUUUAGAUUUUAGAGAUUUUAUUAAAACUUGAUGUUUCUGUCAAAAUAAAAAAAAGUACAGAAAAAACUAGAAUUACACCAAACAUGCAACACUUAAUUUUUAUUCGAUUGAUAAUUACUCUAAUAUCAUUUAUGAAGAUUCGCAUUAAUUUGUAAUAUAUUAUCUAUUUUGACCUAAAGAUAUCAUGAUUUUAUUUUACAAAAUAUGCUUCGUAAGUUUUAGAUUUAAGUCUAUAUUUAUAUAUCAUAAUAAAUUUUUAAAAAUUUUUAAUAUGAGAUUAGAGUGUCACAAUAUAUAAAAAAAAAUUAAGCUAAUUUAAAAUAUCUUAAUCAUAUAUUCAUAUUACGAACAAAAGUUAUUAUGUUUGGAAGAUGAUUAUAGAAUUAUUUUUUUUUAUGGAGAAUUAUUAAUGUUUCCUUGAUAAGCUUUUGAAAUAGAAGAAAUAUUACUAUAUUAUUGAUACAUUUUUCUUAAUUAUUUUUUUGGACAUGAUAAAGUGAAGAAUGGAAAUAGCCAUAGGGCCUUUGAUUUGAAGGUGAAGUGAAUGUUGGCCAUAGUUGGGCCAUUUACAUUAUUUAGAACUUUGACUCAUUCCAAAAUAUUUUAUAAUUUUCAUUCUUUAUUAUGAGAUUAGAUAUAAUAAUUCCAUCAAAUUCCACCCAAAAAGGGGAGGGAUAUAAUGAAAAGAAUGAAUGAGCUCAAGUGUUUGAAUUCUGCAAGCAGGUUGACCCUUUUGCAAAUUAUGUUUAAAAUAUUAAAAAAGCCAUUUAAAAAAAAUAUAAGCAAAAUGUCCUUUAAUAAGCAAAUAAUACAACUUUUUGAUAAUAAAUAUUAUAUUAGAAACAUGGAAAUUAGUUAAGUUGAUUUAUAUAAUAAAUUUUUAGAAACGACAUUUAAUAAAUUUAAAAAUUCAAAUCUCAAUAUCUUCAACCAUUUUUUUUUAUCUACUCUUUUAUAUUGAAAAAAUACUAUUAUACUACCAUAUAUAUUCAAUAAUCAGUCUUUCCCAUGUCAAUCUUAGCAAUGAUAGAUUCCAGUCUAAGUUGUUUUGGAUAUAGAAGAGAGUACUUGAUCAUGGUGGAGGUCUCUAUUCUCUAGCAUGACACACUUGAAAUGAUGAAGGAAACAAAAAAAUCAUUCAACCUUGAAGUAGUCAGGUUGUUUCUUAAAUCUUAAUCAAUUUUUUCAGUCAAAUUUAUAUAUAUAUAUAUAUAAAUAAAACAGUGUGGUCUCCCACUUCAAAGAACAAGAAAAAAAAAUAGAAGAAAAACCCACAUUGGGAAGUAGUCGUAGCUUAUCAGGCACAAGCUUAAUUUUUAAUAUUAUUUUUUCUGCUGAAAUUUCAAUCGAUUAAAAAAUAAAAAGAUCUUUACUAAUAAGAGUAUGGUUCAAUUGGUAAAUAUUAUUUAUCUCAAUAUAAAAGUCUUGAAUUUAAGUUCAAUUGAUGAUUUUUUAUUGAGAAAAUCUUAAAUUCACGACAUUUAAUCAUUGUUUUUACAUUAUUUGAUAUGAUACAUUUUAUAUUGACUUAAAGAUUGAAUGACCUAUUUACUUAUAGUUUUUUUUUAUAAAAAAAUAAAAAAAUCCUCCCGGAUCUGUUCAACAAGGUGGCUUAUUGGAGUUGGGAACCAUGAGAGUAAAGGUCAGUUCCUUUCUAACCUCGAUGAAUCUGAAUUUUUUUAAGAGAAAGAAAACCAUGUUAAUUCUUAGGACCACUUGAAUUAUGAAUACAACAUGUUCAAUAGGAAAUAUGUCUUCCUAGCCAUUUAUGUCCUUUAUUGCUGAUCUUUUCUCAUUCAUUAUUUACGAGGUAGGUUCAACAUCAGUAAUGAACAAAACCAAAUUAGAAAUGGAUAAAAAAAAAAAAAAACAUACUUUUUUCUACGAAUAUAACGUUGUUGGGUGUUAAGUAUACUAUCACUACUUACUAGAUCAGAAUAGAUAGAAUUGCCUUUGAUUAAUUGACUUGAUCAUGUAAUAACAGGCAGUAAGCCUCUUUUAACUGUUUUUUUUCUUUUCCUCUAUACUAAAAAUAUAAUCAUAAAAUAUAAAUUCCAACAAGUUAGAAAGAUUUCUAUCACGCUUCCAAAAAGAAUCUAAGAACCUGUAAUCUCUUUUAUUCUUUUACUAAUGCCUAAUGGCAUUUAGUUGUCAAGGAUUCAAUCUUGAAAAUUUUGUCUUUUGGUUUAGAAAAUCAUAUUAGUGACCGAUUGUUUUUUAUUUCGUUUAAAAAUAGGGUUAUUCUAGAAAGAUGAGUUUAAACCCUAAUUGAACAGUACUAGUAAUGUUGAUUCUUCAAGUAAUAAGUAUAUUGAACUCUAGUUCUUAAAUAAAUAGCCAUAUUUCCAUUGGAAUAUUUCAAAUAGCAAGGGAAAUUUUGAACUCUUAGCAAAAUUUGCUUAGGUUUUGGGCAGUGUUGUAUUGUAUGCUAGAAUUUGUUGAUUUCUAAUAUUUAUUUUUGGUGGACUUUUAAUCUCUGCUGCCUGUUGCUACUGGCUAAAGCAACAGUAAAAAUGUUCUGAAGUUGCUGCAAACAGCUUAGCACAGGCUUUUUAGGCUGUACCUGAAAUAAAACAGUUGAGAAAGAAAAGUGCAUGCAACCGCAAAUCUGUUAUAAUCUCGAAGAAAAAAUUUGACAAUGGCGGGGCAAGCAAACCGUCCUGGCAGUGGCCAAGAUUAGAGCUAGAAGGACAGGGAAUAGUAGCUUUUGAUAGUGAAGAAUGUGACAUAACAAGUGCUGUCUCCGAUUUCAUAUCCUACAAAAAAAAGAUAAAAGGGUGGUGGCAAAUGGCAAUGAUGGGACAUGAGACAAGAAGCAUUAUUCAAUUGAAUCAUUGUGAUACAAUUGCCAGCUUCCUGUUGCCAAAAGAAAGCCAUCGCAUGCUCCCUAAUCAGGUCACUGUAUUGAAAAAGUUCAAAACCCCUCUAUGUGGUCUUCAAAGUACCACAGCCCCUGUAAAUCUUUCAGCUUUCUUGUUCUCAAUCUAUCACAAGCUAAAUCAGUUUAUCAAUUCUCUGGAUGAUAAUUGGAGCAUUUUUUCUUCUUUGAAUAUGACAAUCAGGUGUAUAAAUGGAUUAUGUACUCUCUCCGUCUCUAUAAGUCAGUCACUUAUAGCACAAAUUUUGUCCAACGAUAAGAACAAUGAAAAAGUCGUCAUGGAACUUUUUUUUCCAUGGCCUAAAGGAAACAGAUGAAUACUAUAAAAUGAUAAACAUAAAUGAGAAAAGCUCAUAUUAAAUCUGAAAAACUGGAUCCAUUCCAUUUCAAAGGGGAUAUUUACAUCGAGGAUUAUCAGUAUUUUGUCAAUAAGAUGAGAAUGCAUUGGUUUUGGACUUGAAAUUUGUUUACAAGCCCAAUCGUGCAACAGCCUCAAGCUAUCUUCAGCUUGUGCUGACAUCUAAUUGCCAUUUAUCAGUGUACCUAACUUGAAUCUUGUGAUUCAUUAAUAACCUAUUUCUGUACAUGGAAUUCUAUUUUCUAAAACCUGAUUAAAAGCAUCUAGCCAGCCUCCAUAUACCUCUUUGCUGAUAUUUCAUACUGAGCUUGUAGUUGCCAAAGAAUUCACAUUAAGUAAAUUCUGGUGUUCUUCCUUGUUCUUGCCAUCCUUAUUUCUAGUGCUCAAAGGAAGUAGAGGUGGAGCUGUGGAUCCACUUGAUCGGUCAGGCAGUUCUGUAAUUAAGAUAUCAAAAUCAUCAUACUUAUAAAGUUCAUAGUAAGAAAAGUACCUUUCUUGAAGUCAUUUGGCAAAUGUUAUGUUUAACAUUAACACUCAUGUCAAGUGAAAAUGUACAAUUGUUAAAAGCAUUCUCACUGAAGAAUACUUUAGAAAAUGCUAACGAGAAAUUUUAUCAUGCCACAGGUGGCAUUAUGCCGCCACAGGAUCAAUGAACAAGAUGAAAUGUUAAGAUUUAUUGAAUGGAUUUAGCAGUUCAUAUUGCAUAUAGCAUCAAAUACAGUAUUGAAUAAAUUACCUUCUUCCCCAAUUCUAAAAUCAGAAAGGAAAAACUAAUAUUCAAUGCUAACCUGGCAAUUUCAUGUCGAGAAAGAAUGCUACCAAAUUUACAGUAUACCUGCAUAGAGAUCAAUUACUCUUGGUUAGUUCAUGAAAUGAUGGUGUUCCUAAAUAUUUCACUGUAAGAGCCAAAUAUUUUUCAUUGUCCCCCUUAUUCACCAUGCAACAACAAUGUCAACUGUGUAAUGUUUGCGAGAUGCUAUAAUCAGGAGGCUCUGAACCACAGCUAGUAGCCAAGCAAACUGUUUUAUGCAUCUGCAAGAUGAAGCUAACAGACAAUUACAAAAUUUGUAAAAAGAAAAACAUAAAACCCUCCUAUGUUCCUCAAUUCCUCCUUAUGCAAACAACAAUAAUUGUCUGAUUUUAUAUUAGCACUCGCAAUAAGAUAACACAGAAAACAUCACCUAAGAUUAACAGUCUAACAGUUAUCCAUUACCUUCUUGUGCCAUAUCUUUGAUAUGUGCGGACAAAUACUAAGGUGAAAAUCAUGUGUGACGAAAAUAUCAAAUCACCACAGCCAUAUAUAGCACCUUGGGGAACUGCAGAUUUGUACAAAUCAAAUGACUAUCAUACUGUUGACAUUGUAACUGAUAAACUAGAAAAAAAAGAAGUUGAAAAUGUCUAAAACUAACAGUUGAUCAAGAAGACUUCGAGAAAACUCUUUGGAGGGGGUAACCUGGCAAGUUUUGAGCCCUGAAAUAAUCUAAUUGUAUAAAAUUUCUUUAAAUAUAAUAAUGCAACCAAUAACAAGGGUCAAAUAACGUUCGAUCACAUUAUCAGUGUCAAGAUUUUAAGAUCAUAUCAAACAGAAAAAAUCAUGCAUAUGUUUUAUCAAGUUUACCUCACGACAAUGAUAGUUUGGACCUGGAAGCUGCGUUGAAUAGAAGGUUACGAUGCGGAGACACUGAGAAACCUACAAGAAGAAAUUACAAAUACAUAUAUGAAAUCAUAGGGUAAUAAAGCAGGGAAGUAGCAGUUCUCUUCAUUCUAAAGAACAGAUUUAAGACCUUAAAACAUAAAAAAAUUAGCACAGAAUGGUACUUACAACUAAAUAAGCAAGAACCCUACACCAUAUCAGAACAGUGUAUAUUCUUUUGCUCUGGAGCACAAAGGGAUGAAAAGUCCACUGCAACAAAUAAAUAAAUAAAAUACUAUAUCAGACAACCAAUCAACAACCAAGCUUUUACAUUAUCGUCAUUAUACUAACUAUCAGGUUAAUAAACUUAAUAAAAGUAUAAGAAUAACAAAAUCAAAGACAAUAAUUCAUAAACAGAUGCCUUGAAUGUAACUUCUUUAAUUCAAUGAUAUAACUAAGAAAUAGCGUAUGAAAAAGAAAAUUCCUCUAGAUGCACCAUAAGAGUGUUAGAUCAAAUAAAAAGUUUUACAAAUCAUACUAUGUAAAUAGAUAAUAACAACUAUUGAUGCCCUUAUGUGCAUAUGCAUUACGAUAAAAAGGUUAACAUGCACUUUCCUAAGCACAAUAAAAUAUAUAAAUAAAAACCUUUCCGAAAUCUCCAUUAAGAAAAGAGGCAUGCAAAUUAGAAAAAAGAAUUAAAAAACCUUACCAAAACAAAGGAACAAAAAAUGAAGGUGAACAAAGUCUCACUGACAUAAAAUUUGUCGUGACCAAGUUCCUAAAUUAGAAAAAGAACAUAAUAUUACUAAACCAGCUACAAUUUCAGGUAAUGGUGUAUAGAGCCAAAGAACGAGAAUCCAAGUUGGUACCCACAGGAAGAAGAAAGAACCCAACAUCCUGUAGUGUCGCUCCUGGCCGGUGUAGGUAAUGAACUCCAUGGGCAGCCAAUCCAUGAAUGUACUGAUAAAAGUAAGAGAGAACCCCAUCAGUUACUCAAUUUUUCAAGCAAUUUAAACUUUAAAGCUCUAAAAGGAAUUACAAUUACCUAGAGGGGCAAAACAACUAAUAAACUUAAUGGUAUCUUGAUAAGAAGGACAAUGUUUCAAAGAACAAGCAAUUAACUACAAAGACCCAAACAAUCUACUCUUCAAAGGAACUGAUAAUAAGCAAUAUGAAUAAGAUUAGCUCCUUCCUUUAAUUCUUAUCAUCCAAGCACAUUUCAAUGAAAAUACAAAUCACAAAGUAAUAUAAAGCAAAAAAAGAAAUUCUAGGAAACAAAGAGCCCAUCCAAGUAAAGGCCUAAAAUAACCAAUGUUGAUUGAAAAUUUGUUUGAAUUUAACGAAUUUAAAAUUUAAAAACAGGGUCAAAAACCUGAACCUGAAAAGCAAGUCCAGCAAGAAUAAGCUUCCAAUUCUCUGCAAGAAGUGAAAUCUCUAUCCAAGCUUCUGUGUAAAUCUUCCUCCAUAGCUUCACAUUAAAACAAAACAAAUAAAAAAAUUAAUCAAAAUCCGAAAAAACAAAAACAAAGAUCAUUUCUAAUAAAAUUCAAAGGAAAAGAAACCUUAGGAGCCUCACGAUCAACGUAAAGCGGCAUUUCGUCAAAAAUUGCAAUUAAAGUAAAAAUUUUUAUCGCAUUUAAAUAUCCACAUUAACGAUUAAAAAAUAUGUAAUUUGAAUUUGAUAUUUAUUUAUUUAUUUAUUUUGAUUCAAUAGUUAAAAUUUUCAAACUAAUUUUUAAUUUUAAAAAGAUAUAAAAAAUACUAAAAAGAUAAUUAAUGUAUAAUUAUCUAACAAAUCCACCCAAUUCACCUAAUUCAAAUUCUAAUUUAGAAUUUCUUGAUACAAUUUUUUUCUAUUUUGUGAAUAGGCAGUUGAGACAAACAAAAAAAAACAGAUUUGAUAAAGAUUUUGGAUUCUGAAAGAAUCCAAGGAAAUGAAGGUUUUUACAAAGAUGAAAAAGUUAGAUUUUUUUUAAAUGUAAGUAUUGAUUAAUAAAAGUUGGAGAAAUAAUUUGCAUAUUGAUGCACAUUUUUAUUUUUUACAGUAAUGUUAAAACUGAUGAAAUAUCACCGUCCAAACAAACUUUUUAAUUUCUUUUACAAAAUAUUUUCAAUAUUAGUUUACUAUUGUAAUUAUUUUUUUAUUUAUAACUUUUUUUAAAGAUAUAUUUUAUUACUAUAUAAUUUCGUUCUUAUAAAAAAUAAUAUUUUUUUCAAUUUAUUUUUUCACAUAUCUUUUAAUAUUUUUUAUGUAUUACAAAAGUGAAAUAAUGUUAAUACUUUUUUUAUUAUUUAAUUUAUUAUUUAAUAAUAUAUAUGUUUUAUUUAAAAAAAUAAUUUAUUUUAUUUGAUAUAAUUUUGUGUAUAAAUAUUAUUAUAAAUAAAAUAAUGCAAUAGGAUAAUAUGGCUUUUUUAGGUCAAAUUAUGCUACUAGUAUCUGUAUUAUCCACAGAAUACAAAGUUAGUCCUUAUACAUUAAUUUCAACAUGUCAAGUAUUUGCAUUUUUGGUGAUUUUAAAUUUUCAUUCAAUUAGGGAUGGCGAGCUAACCCGUUCCCGUCGGGUUCUGGUCAGACCCGACCUCAUGGGGUCGAUUUUUUUUUUUUGAAAUUCAAGUUCGGUUGAAUCGGGUAAAAUAAGGAAACAUUCGGGGUCGGGUCGAGUUUGUCUAAAAUCCGAUCCGAUAUUAUAUAAAAAAUUAUUUUUUAAUUAAUUAUUUAAUUUUUAUUUUAUAUAUAUAUUUAUAUAAUAAUAUUUUUAAAUAUUUAUAUUUUAAAAAAUAAUAUUUUAUUAAUUUCAGGUCGAAUCGGAUACGAUUUACAUGAUAUCGGAAUCGGAUCGAGUUCGAAUAUGAAAAACCAAAAAAAAUUUCGAAUAAGAUCGAGUUCGAAUUUAAUAAAAUAUUAAAUCAAAUCAGGUUCGGAACGAAUAAAAUCCAUCUUAAAUCUGAUCCGAUGUCAACCCUACAUUCAACAGUAACAGUUGUUUUUUCUUUUUAAUUAAAGUUGAUGAUAUCUUCCCUUGACCAAGCGAGAUAGCAUUGACCCAACGAUGUGAAUUAAAAAGUUGAUGAAUAGGUUCGUUUUUGCCGAUGUGGAAUUUUCAUGUAUUUUUUCUUUAUUUCUUCCUUUUUUGUUUUUCUUAUUCUCUCUAAGCCUCACUUUCUCUACCUCUUAAACACUCACGAACGUAAACAGUUACCCAUUAACAGCUACAGAAUUUGACGCCGGACCUUCGACUGUCGUCGCUGGCAUCGCCGUCUACUACCAUCAUUCUGUCGGAAAUACCAUAAAAGCUAUUCGAAAAUUUCGCUAGGCCUCUCAUUUUUUUUAUUGAUUUAGAUUAGCCAAAAAGAACCCAGUAAAACCUAGAUCUAAAGCCUAACACCCUAGAUACUUCACCCAAAAAAUACCCAUUUUCACGGUUUGAAAAGGCCUAAUUUUUUACUAUGUUUGUCUGCUUCAAAUUUUCUCAACUAACUCAGUCAAGCUCAUUGGCAAAUCCCAAAUUUCAUCCAGUUUAAAAACGUGCACAAAAAUCAAACUUUCAGGUAAUUUUGUAAACGGAAGUAUCUCCUAGGACAUUGAUCAUUGUGAAAAUAUCUUAUACUUGAAUUUAAGCCAUUAAAUCAUAGGAAAUAUCAACGCUUCAUUCAAUAAUUGCUGUUGAUCUUUCCCAUAAUUUGCUCACUGGAACCGCCCCUUUGAACUUAAAAAAUUGUAGCACUUUUGAAAAUUUCAAUGAUUCCUACUAAAUUUGUUAACCCGGUAUUGUUAUUAGGUGUGUGGUUGUUUUAUUGAUUUUGAUUAUCCUGAUAUGUUUUUGUAGAAUAAAAGUGGUAUGAAAAUGGAGACAAGGGAUAGCAAAACAAGUUGAGGAUAAAAUUCCUGGAGAUAAGACAGCAAGGGAGAGUGAUAAUAGGAGAGAGGUUGGAUUUUAGAUUGAUUAUCUUAUCCAUUUUAGACAGAAAGAUAAUGUUAAGGUAGAUUUCUAAAGAGAUAACAGUCAAUCAGUUGAACUAAAGUUUAAAGUAAGUCUGUAGAGAGAGAAAUAAAAAAAUGAUUUUGUUCGUGAAAAUUAUUUGACGUGGAAUUUUUUUUCUUUUUAGGCUAAGAUAGAAUUCCACGUUAGCAAAACGAUCCACUCAUCAAUCUUUUAAUGCCCACGUCGGGUCAAUGCCACCUCACUUCGUCAACGGGACACGUUGUCAACUUGAACGGAGAAAAUAAAUCACCGUUAUUGAUUAGAUGAAAAUUUAGAAUCAAGAAAAAUACAAAUACUUCUUAUAUUAAAAUUAAUGUAUAUGGAUUAAAUCCGCAAUUUGUGUAUAGUAUCAGGACUAAUAGCAUACUUUGACCUAUUUUUUUCUUUUUUUAUUCAAAAAGUUUAAUUUUUAAAAUAAAUUAAUAUAUAUAAAUUUUAUAUAUGUUAUAAAUUUUGAAUAUUUGAAUAUAAUUUUAGAAAAAAAUUAAUUUAUACUUAUAUAUUCACAUUAAAUAUAUAAAAUCAUUUCGUAUAUCACACGAGUUAUAAUUUAAUAUAUAUUGUAUUACAACAUGAAUAAAUAUUUGAUAAAAUUUAUCACAUAAACAUUCAUAUGGACAAUUUUUUUAAAAUGUCAUGUAGUAUAGAUAUUAUCGUUCAUUUGUAGUUUGAAAGAUAUUACUUAUACAAUAUGAGUUAUGUUGUUCAUUAAGUGAUAUAUAUACAAUUUUAUGCUAUUCUUCUUAUUGUAUUAUACUAUAUUUCUUUAUAUAAUUGAAUUUCUAUCUCAUAACAGUAAUUUCUUUUUUUUUGUAAAUUUAAAUAUAUAUAUAUUCUUGAAUAUAAAGAUGGUGCAAGGUGAAGACAUUUUUUUUUAUUUAUUUUUUUUAUGAUAAGUUAAUCAAAUAUAUAAAUUUAAGGUGUUAUAUAUUUUGAAAUUUUAAAUAUAAUUUUAAAAAAAUAUUAAUUUAUAUGUAUAUAAAUAUAUUAAAUAAGUAAAAUUAUUUGGUACGAUGCACAAAUCACAAUCUAAUUAAAAUAAUAUUUAAUAACUGGGUGCAUUUAAAUAUUCACAUUAACAAUUUCAAAAAAUAUAUAAUUUGAAUUUGAGAUUUUAGUUUUUUUUUUUUUGGAUUUAACAGUUUCGAAAUUUCAAACUAACUUUCAAUUUUAAAAAGAAUAUUAAAAAAAUACUAAAAAGAAAAUUAAUGAAUAAUUAUCUAACAAAUCCACCCCAUUCACCUAAUUCAAUUUCUAAUUUAAAAUUUUUUUAUUCAAUUUUUUUCUAACUUGUGAAAAUACGGCUGAGGUAAAAAAAACAAAAAAAAUUAUAAAGAUGUUGAAUUCGGAAAGGAUCCAAGAAAAUAAAGUUUUUACAAGGAUAAAAAUGUUUGGUUUCUUUUCCAAAUUUAAGUAUUGAUUAAUAGAAGUUGAAGAAAUAAUUUGCAUAUUGAUCCUCCAUUUUUGUUUUUUAGGGUAAUAUUACAACUGAUGAAAUAUCGAUCAUCCGAUCGUCAAACCGUAAAACCCGUUGCUUUGUAUUAGGCCCAAUUAAAUGGCCUUUUAUAUGAGCCUGCUAAAAGAUAAUAAAAUAAUUUUGUUAUAAGGUAAAUACAAAUAGAAAUUCAAUUUCUCAAGUAAUAAAAUAAAAUAAAAAAAUUUCCCUUUUUUUUUUUUUUAUAAAAUAGAUCAUGGUUUGAAAAUUUAAAAAAAAAAAUUGUAAGUGAUAGAUUUAAAUUUUGACAUAUAAACACCUCGUUUAAUUCGGAGUUUUGUCGAUUUAAUUUAGGAUCUAAAAAAUCUAUAUUUUAUAUUUUUAUAUUUAUGUGUAUUUAUCAUCUUUAUUUUUUUAUUUUAUAUAUUUAUCUUUUAUUAGUAUUUAUCAAAAAAAAAAAAAAAAGUAAAACCGAAAACAUUAAAGUUUGGCUAGGUGAUAAUUUUUAAGUAUGAGAUUAGAUUUUAAUCCUUAGCCUUUAGCCUCAUGAGUUGAAUUAGAAGUGAUCUUAAACUCUCUUAGAUUUACACUAUAAAAUGGAUUGAUAUUCACAAAGCUGAAACCAACGGAGGAAAUUGGAAAGAGGAAGGGAGUUGCAGGCAGCAGGAGGCCAUCGGUAACAUAAGAGAGAGGAUCUGUGUGGAGUUACCAGAUUCUAGGCUACUUAAUACACGUUGAGCUCAAGGAAAAAUAGAAAAAGAAGACAACAGCAAAAAUUGAGAGCUUCAUCGCUUGUUCUUUGAGAAACAGAAGUGACUAGCUUUCUGCAAUCGAAAAUAAAGAUAGGGGAAAGAUCAUGUAAAAUGGCCCAGACUUGAAGACCUGGUCAAAGUCCAAAAGUUCAAAUUUUGGGUGUAACCCAAAAAGUUUCAAGCCGAAGUGAAAGCCUGCAAGCCCGCGAUUGAGAUCCAACCAGUUUUGCAAAUUCAACACUAAGCCAUGAAGUCGCGCCACUGGGCCGAGCCAAAUCUGAGCCAUUCUGGUUGAUUUCAGUUCUUGCAGCCGAGCCUCUCAGCCACUAAACCAAGCUGAUUUCAUUUUUUUGGUAUUUUAUUUAUUUAUGGUUUUAUUCGUUUAUUCGGUUUUCUUAAGUUUUUUUUCUAAUAAAAAAUUUAGAAAAAUUACAAAAACUUUAAAAAAUAAUAAUUAAAAAAUAUAUAAAAUAAAAUUUUUAAAAUAAGUGAUAAUUAUCCUAUGAUGAAAUUUUUUUAGAAAUUACAAAUGGCUAAUUUCUAGAAAUUUUCUAUGUGAGAAAUGUUUUAAAAUUUAUCCUAAAUGUUAGAAAAAUUUAAAUGCAAUUUCAAGAAAAUAUUUAUCACAUUAUUCCAAAGAUUAAAAAAAAAAAUUUUAAAUAGACCCAAAUGAUGAAAAAUUUAGAAAUUAAAAAGAAAAUUUUUAAAUUGGCUUAAAUGGUGAAAAAUUUAGAAAUAAAUAAUUGUAAAAAAUUAAAUUCCAAUGAUGAAAUUUUUAGUAAUUACAAAUAGUUGAUUAUCUAAGAAUAUUCUAAGUGAGAACAUAUUUUUAAUUUUAGCCCAAAUGAAGGAUAAAUUAGAAAUAUUUUCAAUUAAAAAAUGAUUGAACCUUUUUCGAUGACAGAACCUUUUUAAAAAAAUAAAUAAAAUUCUUGAAGAAAAUAUUUUUAGGAAUUCUACUAUAUUGAUGGAUAAUCUUAAAAGUUAUUUUUAAUAUUCAAUGUAGACACCUUAAUUAGUCUAGACCCAAGCCCAUUAGGCCUGGUUCAAUAGGGUCUGGGCCUAAGCCCAUCGGGCCUAGCACAAUGGGGUCUAAGGAGUUAGGCCCAACUAUUUAUUUUUUUAUUUAUGUGCUUUAUUAUUUUGUUUUAUUUUUAUUCUUAUUGUUAUGUUGAUUUUUUAUUUAUUUUAUUUUUAGUUGAUAAUAGGAUAAUGUGAAAUCUAGUCAAAGGUGGACUUAGAAUCGAUCAGAAACUCUUCUAAUCACAGGCUAUAAAUACCCACACAAUACACAAAAAUGAAUCACAGAAACACAAAGAUCAGAAAGGCAGAUCACACAACAACAGAUUAGGUAGAAAACACACAAAAUAUAGAAAUUAGGGUGAUCACACACAAAAAAGAAAUAUACAGUAAAAAACGAAAAGGUUUACAGAAAUUAAAAAAAAAUUGAAGAUUUAUGGAAAAAACCUAGAAAAUUCUCAGAUUUCGAUGAAAAUUUUCAAUUUUCGAUGAACUUUUCAAUGCCGAUUAAAUUUUUUGGCAAGUUUUCUAAAAUUCGAUGGAAAAUUCAAGUGUCAGUUGAAUUUUUCAACGAACUUUUAAUGAAACAACCUAGAUUCCAAUGCUUUUUUUUCAAAAUUCGAUGAAUAUUCAACUGAAGUUCUUUGAUUUUUAGAGAAAAAAAAAAAAAAAAAAGAAAAAGAGAGAAGGGGAAAGGGAGAUCUAAAGCAGUAAGCUGAAAUUUGGCCUUUUAUAGUGCUCUGAAAUAAUGUCGUUUUGGUGUUAAGUAACUUUUCAGGAUUUACGCAUUUUAUCGCUGGGCGAUCUGACCUGAGCACUCAACCUCCCUUCAACCCGCUUCCCAACCAAACCCUGUUGCUGACUCGAGCCAAGUCAAUUCCCCCCUGAGCCGCACCUUCGAGCAAUUAUCUAUGCCUCAAACCGAGCCACUUCAGCCGUCAAGCCGAGCCAUUUUUUAUUUUUUGGUAUUUUUUUUAGUAUUUCAUUUAUGUAUUAGUUUUUUUUUUUUAGUAUUUUUGCAUGAUUAAAUUUAAAAAAUAAAUAAAUAAUAAAUUAUUUUUUUGAGAAUAAACAAUAAUUAUCCAAUUAUAAAAUUUUUAAAAAUUUCAAAUUGUAAAUUUUUAUAAAAUUUCUAGAUGAAAAAUUUUGUCUAAAUUUAUUCCAAAUGGUGGAAUAAUUUAGAUAAAGUUUCAAUAACAAUAAUUAAUAUUUAUUUUCAAACAAAAAAAGAGAAAAAAAUAAAAAAACCAAAAAAAUAAAAAAUAAAAACUUUUAAUUGAAAAUAUUUGACAAUUAUCCAAGGAUGAGAUUUUUAAAAAUUUUAAAUGGUAAAUUUUUUUAAGAAAUUUCUAGGUAAGAAAUUUCUUUAAAUUUGUUCCAAAUGGUUGAAGGCUUUAAAUGAAAUUUCAAUAAAAAAAUAAUUGUUAUAUUAUUUUCUUUUUGAAAAUAAAUAAAAAUUUUUUUUUCUAAAUAGGCCCAAAUGGUUAAAAAUUUAGAAAUUUCGAAAAAGAAAAUAUUUCUAAAUUGACCCAAAUAGUGAAAAAUUUAGAAAUAAAAAAAAAUAAAAAAAAAUUUUAAAUAGGCCCAAAUGGUGGAGAAUUUAAAAAUUCAAAAAAAAAAUUUAUAAUCUAGCCCAAUUGGUAAAAUAAUUAAAUAUAUUUUCGACAAAAAUAUUAGAAUAAAAAUCUUUUUCUAACGACGGAGCCUCUUCAAAGAAGCAAAUAAGAUAUUUGAAUACUUUUGAGGUGAAGAAAUAUUUUUAAGAAUUCUACCAAAUUGAUGAAGAGUUUUAAGAAUUAUUUUUAAUAUUUUAACAAAUAAAAUUUAAGACCAUUAGAACCAAUACUUUAAGAUAAAUUUAAAAUAAAAUGGUACCAUCCUUCGGAUGAGCUUGUGGGGGUGCUAUAACCUUUCUCACGUGUAACAAAACUCUCAAAUCCAGUUCUGAUUAGUAGACCCGAACUUAUUCUUUUAAGAACCCUUAGUUAAGCUUAUAAACUUUUUCAAAUGAUAGAUUCCUUAAGUGACCAAUCAUAACUAGUUAAAAAAAUUUGGUAACGACUCAUGCUAUCAUGUUUAACUAUAAAUUUACGGAUUUAUAUGUUAUGACAAUUUGGUGAUUCCACUAGGGAUAGCCAUAGAGAGUCAAGCCAUAAACUUUUAAAUUUAUUUUAUUCUUUAGUCUAAUGGUUUUAAAUUAUAAUGAUUUGUGUUAUCUAUUUACUAACAUUUUUGGCUUUGUUGUCUUUUAUUUUUAGGGCAUGAAACCUAUAUGUUCCUUCACACAUACUAUCACAUGUAUUUUCAUUACAUGAGUUAUAUACCCGGACUUCAUCCCUUUUAGGAGGGAGUAAAGUACCUAUAUUUUUGUGAGAUGAUAAUCUCUGCAAUGGCUAGCAAAAUAACUCUUACUCAAAUUGAAUCAUUUCCCUUGAUAGCUUGUGAUGGGUGAUGAUUGGACUACGUUACUAGUCUAUAAUGGAUGAUGAUGUAAGAAACAAUUUAGAAACCAUUAGAAGUCAAAAUCACCUAACCCUGCAUAUAGUGCACACUUAAAAGGCCAACCUUAAGAUAGAGCCAUUCCUACCUAUUGAUAGAUGUAACUCGAAGAUAAGACGUAAAAAAGAAUAGUUUGUGACCUAACCAUUUUGUUUAUUUGACUUUGUGUAUUUGCAUUAUCACGCAUCAUUUCCACUAUCAUAUUUAACAUUGAGCAUCUGCAUCAUUUUCAUAUUAAAUUUCAUCCAUGAAAAUCCAUAUUCCAUUUAUGCAUUAACAUAUCAUGCAUAAACCAUAGCAUUUUUAAUGACACAAUUAUGGUGCUCAAUGUUCAAGGAUAGCUCUACUGAGCAAGAACUUCAUUCACCAAUAUAAUACAAAGGUUUGAACUAGAUAGAUGAAACAAAAAAAUCUCAACCAUCUCAAGAGGAUAAAGAAAGCCCAAGAGAAGCUUGAAGGGAAUUGAAUAGGAUUCUAGAAGCUUUGAAUAGUUAAACAAGGGAAAGAAUGUCAAAGAAAAUACUAGCCAACAAGACCAUUUGUUACAAGAGGUGACUGACCUUAUAUAUCCUCUUAGUUUUGGGCCUCAUCAAGCCUAGUCCACUUAGGAUGCACUAUUCCAGUAGUUUACAUACCUUGUAAGGUAUACAUAUCCUGGAAUGCCAUCAGCUUCAAAUCCAUCAUAAUAUAAAGUUAUGUAAAUCUUGUUUUUACUGAGAAGGUAGUAGAACCAAUAUCAAUCCUUAACUUGAACGAUCCAAAAAAGAAAGAAAAGUUGAGACCUAAAGAGAAUGAGACUUUAAAAGUUUUAAAAGUUGAAUAGAAGAUAAACUUAUUAGAGGAAAUGUUAUAGGCCAUAGAGGGCAUUGGUUUUUAUGGUACAGUAGAUGCUGCUAGAUUUUGUUUAGUCUCAUAUGUAGUUAUUCCUUCGAAGUUUAAAGUUCUAGAGUUUGAUAAGUAUGAUGGUACAAAGUAUCCAAAGACUCAUAUUAUCAUGUAUUAUUGAAAAAUAACUGCCCAUGCUAAUAAUGAAAAACUCUUGAUAACCUUACGAGAUUUACUGCUAGAUGGUAUAUCCAAUUGGACAGAGCCCAUAUUCAUUCUUGAAGUGACAUAGCCCAUAACUUUAUUAGUUAGUACUGGCAUAUAGUAGAUUUAACUUUUGAUCGUCUGUCUUUUUAGAACAUGAAAAAAAGUUAAAUUAGUCAUUUAAGAAAUACGCCUAGAGGUGGAGGGAUGUAGCUUCUUACGUGUAACCCUUUAACUGAAAAAAAAACUACAAUAUUAUUUAUCAGCACUUUAAAAUCUCCUUAUUACAAAAAAAUGAUAAGGAAUGCCAUAAAAAAAUUUACUGACAUGGUAAUCUCAAAACGAAAUCAUUAAGAAUGCCAUUAAAAAUGACAAAUUGAAAGGAGGAGAACCUAAGAAGGCGUAAAAAAAAAAAGACUGAAGCUUAAGCUGUGAGUUUUGACAGACAAUUUAUGGGAUAUCAACCCUAUCCACUACAAGGUUAUUCUUCAUACUAUCCUACUGUGAACAAUACAUUACCAUACCCAUAUCAAUCAUAUCCAUAAUCAGCUUACUAACCAACCUACCAAUCAACUUUUGAAGAACUUGCAUCAGCUUCAAAGCCUAACCAUCAAGCAAAUGAUUUAAGAAGAUAUCAAGAUAAUCAAGAAAGGGCACAUAUUGACCCUAUUCCCAUGACUUACACUGAGUUAUUCCUAUAAUUAGUCAAAAAUAACUUGGUAUCUCCAGUUAUUAUAGAACCAUUGAAGCUAUCCUAUCUAAAAUUGUAUGAUACUAAUGCAACAUGUAAUUAUCACAAUGGGAACGUAGAUCAUUCUAUUGAAACAUGCUCUACUUUUAAACACAAAGUGCAAAGUUUGAUUCAAAAAAGCUUACUGAGCUUUGACGAAUCAGGGGGCAAGAUAUCAAUAAAAAUCUUUCACUUGAUUGCACAGGGGCAUAAAUUUGAUAAGAAUGCUAAGGCUGGUUGAAAGUUGCUUGUCAUUUUAAAAUUUCUUUUAGAGUAAUGUUAGGAAUUUUUUAAUGCAAUAAGAUUUCAUUUUUUAUCAUUUCAAUAAAAAGCAAGGAUAAUGUAUUUCAUUACAUUUUCUCUUUCAUCCAACCACUAUUCCAUGUUUUGCUUUUUUCAUGUCCUUUUGUUCUCAUUCUUAAAUUUCAAAUGAUGAAUGUUUAGACAAUGAUAACAAUAAUUCUAGGAUUUAAUUUUGAGAACUCAUUUACAUUAAUCUGAAGAGAUUGUUUGAGCAAAAAAAACUAGCUACUAGCAGAUGUGAAAUUAAUAUAUCAUGAAGAUUUACAGUCUUUUAUAAAGAUCCAUGAGCUUGUUCUUAUUUAAUGGAUGAUCUUUAAAGAAAGCAUUUAUGUUUGAGAUGAAAAAUGGCCAUUUUUCUUUUAUCAUUCAAAAAAUCAUUCAUUGCUACCCUUUUGAGCCUAUUAUGAUUUUUUAAAAAAAAAAACCUCGACCAAAGAUCACCCUCCACAUUAGGGUUAAUUUUUUAAAGAAAAAGAGGUAAAGAUCUUAAAAGAUCUCAAAGAUAGAAAGUAAAAGGAAAAAAAGAAAGAAAAAAAAGAAAAAGGAAAAAUGAAUGCCACACGUGAUUUGAGGCAAAGUGAUGAGAAUUUUUUUAUGAGAAUGAGGUGAAUGUGAAAAAAAAAAUAGUAAAAUGAUGUAGAAUGGAGUAAAAUGCCCAGUUAUAUCGAAUGAUGAAAAAUGAUCUUUUAGAUUUUGAACCUUUUAAACACAUGUUUUGAGCCUACUGUAUCUAUUUCUUUCAUGACCCCUUACCAUGACCUACAUUACAAUCUUUAAAAGUUUAUUUGAAUCAAAUAUGAAUGCUCUAAUUGAAUGAUCAUAUGUUAAACUAAGGCAUGCUCGUGAUGGAAUGACAGAAUCAUGCUUCGUUGCUUUAGAGAUUGAUGUGGAAGAGAUAACAAUAAUGGGUCAAAGAAAGAGAAAAAAAAGGAAAAAAAAUAAAAAAAAAUGAGAAAAUUUAAAAAGAGAGAAAAAGAAGACUCAAAUUGAAAACCUAAAAAGGCACUUUGGGUAGAAAAUUUUUUGAACUAAAAGUUAGAUAAACAGUUCACAUGGAUGGGAGAUCAGAGAUAUCAAAAGAUCUCUCAAAGUUGAGGCAAAGUUUAAUAAGCUCAAAAUGACUUAGAAAGUCAAUGGAAUGAGUUUUUGAAAGAAUCCUAGAUUAAUGUUCAAAAUUGUUUGAAUAUUAAUUGUUUUGAUAUACCAUUCAUCCCACUGACAUGUAUCCAACUUAUUUCUUUCUUCAUUUAUUUUUGUACCAAUCUCGUUCCUCAUUUAUUAUCUUUCUCUUAAUUCACCUUGUGUUAUCUUAUUGUUGCAUAUUUAGAAUAAAUCGAGAAUAUGUAUGAUUGUAUUAUGUUUGUCACAAUUUGAAAUGAUAAUAAAUGAAUAAAUAUGUGCUUAAAAGAUUCUUGCAUUCUUUUGAAAAAAAAUCUAGGAUGAUAAAGGGUAAAAAAAGAUAAAAACUUAAAAAGAUGAUUUGAAAUGACACUUUGUUUAACCAAGUAAUGAAUGUGGUGAUGGAUUAAUAGACAUAAUUUGUGAGAGGUAAUCAAAUGAUAAAGAUCAGUGGACGAAAUUCAUUUUGGAAUAGCUAGUACUGAGAAGCCUGUCAAUGGUAAUCAAGUGAUGAAUAUAAUAUGGAUAAGAAAACAUAAUUCAUUCUGAAAUGAUUAAUGCUGAGAAGCCUGUGAAUGGUGAUCAAGUGAUGAACAUAAUGUGGAUCAAUUAUAAAAUUUAUUUUGAAAUAGCUAGUGCUGAGAAGCCUAUGAGCGAUGAUCAAGUGAUAAAAGAUAGAAUUUAUUCUGAGAUGGCUAGUGCUAAGAAGCUCAAAAUGGUAGUCUUGAGAACCAUGUUUUCACAUUUCAUGACAUGGACAUCCGCAUUACAUGCAUUACAUUUGCAUUAUUGUUUCGAGAAUAUUUGAAACUUUGGUUUCACUAUGCAUUUGCAUUAUGCAAUAAACAUUUAAAUCAUGAUUAAGAAUAUGUCAUUGAAAGAGUUUAGAUUGUUGCAUUUGCAUCAUUAAGAAAGCAUUUGUAUCAUUGAUCAUGACAUUUAUUAUAUACAACAUUUUGACUUUGAUAAAAGUUUGAAAGUCAUCCAAAAAAAAAAUUUUGAAUCUUUGGAUGAAGUUUUAAAUAAGAAUCUUUAAGUCUCAAAUGAGAAUUUUUUAGUUUUAAAUAAGAAUCUUUGAGAUGUAAAAUCCUAAAAUUUAUUGAAUGUGAAUCUUUGAACUCGAAUGAGAAGUUUUAAACUUUUGAAUGUGAAUUUCCAAAAUUCAAAUGAAAAAGCUUAAACUUUUUGGAUGUGAACCCUAAAUUUGUCAAUUGUGAACAUUUGAACUCGAAUGAGAAGCUUUGAACUUUUGGAUGUGAAUAUCUAAAAUUCAAAUAAGAAUAUUUAAAUGUUGGAUGCAAGUCUUGCAAUUUGCAAAUGUGAAUCUUGAAAUCUUACAAAUUUGAAUUCUAGUGAAACUAAAAUUUUGAGAUUCAAAUUUAAGUGAAUUCUUACGAAGCUAAAAGGUUUUUUUGAAUCUGAACCUUUAAAUUUCAAACUCAAAUUGUGAAUAUUUGAGUUUUAAUUACAAAUUUUAUUAGAUCUGAUCUACGAUUCCUCUGGACAUGAUUGUUGACGAGUUUUGAGGAGCCUUUUAUUUUUCAAAAUCGUUAUGCCUCUAUUUAGAAGAGCCUUUUAUUUUUCAAAGUUAUUAUGCCUCUAUUUAGAGGAGUCUUUUAUUUUUUAAAAUUGUUGUGCCUUUAUUUAGAGGAGCUUUUUAUUUUUCAAAAUCGUUGAACCUCUAUUUAGAUGAGUUUUUUUUUUCAAAGUCAUUGAGCCUUUGUUUAAAAGAGCCUUUUAUUUUUCAAAAUUGUUGAGCCUCUAAUUAAAUGAGCCUUUUAUUUUUCAAAGUCGUUGAGCCUUUAUUUAGAAGAACCUUUUAUUUUCAAAGUAAUUGAGUCUUUAUUUAGAUGAGCCUUUUAUUUAUUUUUUCAAAGUUGUUAAGCCUCUACUUAGAGGAGUUUUAUAUAUUUUGCCAAAAGUUGUGAGUCUCUGUUUAAGGGAGUUUUGUGUCAUUCAAUCGGUUCGAGUGUCUGAUUAUUUUUUAAAAAAAAAAGAUGAAUGUGUUGGGAUGAUCAUAUGCAGGGUAUCUACGUCUUUACAUAAUUCUUAUUGCAGAAGAAAUGCGUAAAGAGAAGCAACUGUAAACACCUUUAUUGGUCCGAACCCAAGCUUAUUAGGCCUGGUUUAAUAGGGUCUAGGUCUAAGCCCAUCGGGCUAACUCAAUGGGGUCCAAAAAGUUAGGCCUAACUGUUUAUUUUUUUUUAUUUAUGGGCUUUAUUUUUUAUUUUAUUUUUAUUCUUAUUUUUAUGUUGAUCUUUUAUUUAUUUUAUUUUUAGUUGAUAAUAGGAUAAUAACUAAAAAAAAUAAAAAUACAAAUGCCACAGUGUAUGGGGUGCUGACAGAAUUACAAUUGGUUUUAAUUUUCUUAGGUUUAAGGAUAAUGCGAAAAUCCGUCAAGGGUGGACAUAAAAUUGAUCAAAAAUUCUUCUGACAAUAUUCUAUAAAUACCCACACAAAAUACAGAAACGAAUCACAAAAACACAAAGAUCAGAGAGACAGAUCACACAGCAACAUAUUAGGCAAAAAACACACAGAAUACAAAAAUUAGGUGAUCACACACAGAAAAAAAAAUAUAUGAUAGAAAGUAAAAAAGUCAGCAAAAAUAAAAAAAAUUAAAAGAUUUCUGAAAAAUUCUCAGAUUUCAACAAAAUUUUUUAGUUUUUGGUGAACUUUCCAACACUAGUUGAGUUUUUCGAUGAACUUUUUUACACUGGUUGAAUUUUUUGAUAGGUUUUCCAAAAUUCAGUGGAAGAUUUCGAUGUCAGUUAAAUUUUUUUACGAACUUCUGAUGAACAAACCCAAAUUCUGAUGAGUUUUUUCAAAAUUCAAUGAAGAUUCAGUAAGAGUUAUUUGGUUUCUAAAGAGAGAACGAAAGAAAAAAAAAGGAAGAGAGAGGAAAAAUGGAGAUCUGAAGCAGAAAACUAAAAUUUGGCCAUUUAUAAUGACUUGAAACAAUAUCAUUUUAGUGUUAAGUAACUUCCCAAGAUCCACGCAUUUUAUCACUAGACGAUCCGACCCGGGUUCUUGACCUGCCUUGAACUCGCUUUCCAACCAAACACUAUUGCUAAGUCGAACCGAGUCGAUUCCUCUUUGAGUCGCACCUUCAAGCCGUUAUCUGUGCCUCAAGCUGAGCCUUUUUUAUUUUUUGAUUUUUUUUAGUAUUUCAUUUAUGUAUUUUUUUUUAGUAUUUUGCAUGAUUAAAUUUGGAAAAAAUAAAAAAAUAAUAAUAAAUAUUUUUUUAGAAUAAAUAAUAAUUAUCCAAUAAUAAAAUUUUUAGAAAUUUCAAAUGGUAAAUUUUUAUAAAAUUUCUAGGUGAGAAUUUUGUCUAAAUUUAUCCCAAUUUGUGAAAUAAUUUAAAUAAAGUUUCAAUAAUAAUAAUUAAUAUUUAUUUUCAAACAAAAAAAUUAAAAAACCUAAAAAAAUAAAAAAAAAUAAAAAGUUUUAAUUAAAAAUAUUUGACAAGUAUCCAAGGAUGAGAUUAUUAGAAAUUUUAAAUAGUAAAUUUUUUAAAAAAAUCUCUAGGUAAGAAAUUUCUUUAAAUUUGUUUCAAACGGUGAACGAAUUUAAAUAAAAUUUUAAUAAAAAUAAUUGUCAUAUUAUUUUCAUUCCAAAAACAAAUACAAAAAGGAAAAAAGAAUUUCUAAAUAUGUCUAAAUGAUGAAAAAAUUAGAAAUUUCAAAAAAAAAUUUUCUAAAUUGACCCAUAUGGUGAAAAAUUUAGAAAUAAAAAAAAUUUUAAAUAGGCCCACAUGAUGGGGAAUUUAGAAAUUCAAAAAAUAUAUAUUUUUAAUCUAACCCAAAUUGUGAAAUAAUUAGAUAUAUUUUUUACAAACAAAAAAAAUUAGAAUAAAAAUAUUUUUCCAAUGACGGAGCCUCUUCAAGGAAACAAAUGGGAUCCUUGAAUACUAUUGAAGUGAGAAAAUAUUUUUAAGAAUUCUACCAAAUUGAUAGAGAGUCUUAAGAAUUAUUUUUAAUAGUUUAACAUAUAAAAUUUAAGACCAUUAGAACCAAGAUUCUAUGAUAAAUUUAAAAUAAAAUGGUACCAUCCUUUGGAUAGGCAUGUGGGGAUGCUAUAACCUUUCUCACAUGUAACCGAACUCCUAAACUCGGUUCUGGUUCAUAGAUCAAAACUUAUUCUUUGAGGGACCCUUAAUCAAGCUUAGAAACUCAUUAAAAUGAUAGAUUCCUUAGGUGACCAAUCAUAUCUAGUUAAAAAAUAUUUGUGACUAGUCCUUUUGUUAAGUCUAGCUAUAGAUUUUUGGAUCUAUAUGUUAUGACAUUCAACGUCUAAAUUUAAAAACUAUUAGAAUUGAGAUCUUAAGAUAAUUUAAAAAUUAAAUGGUACUAUGUUAGGAUGGGCGUUGUGAGGGUGCUAUAAUCUUUCUCACAUUUAAUCAAACUCCUGAACCUAGUUCUAUUCAGAAGGUCAAAAUCUAUUCUUUCAGUGACCCUUAGUCAAGUUUAGGAGCUAUUCAAAAGGAUAGAUUUAUUAAGUGACUAAUCACACUUAGAAAAAAGAUUAGUGAUGACUCUUCUUAUUAAAUCUAACUAUAAAUUUACAGAUUUAUAUGUUAUGACACGAUCUACUAAAAUGACUGUAUGAAUCAAACGAACUAAACAAAAUAUUAUUUUUCACUUUUUCAGUUACAACUUUUAUUUUUCUUCUUAUACUUAAUUAUGAAGAUAUAAUGAUAAAUUUAACCUUUUUAUACCAAAAAAUAUAAUGAUUUGUAGCCAAAAAGCAUGAUGGAGUUUGGAAAAUAGGUUUUAUCAAAUGAAAACUUUGGCAACAAUAUAAAACUUGUUUUUUAAUGAAGCUCUAAUAAUUCAUUAUUGAACAGGAUCAUGAGAAAGUCAUCUUAUAUAAAUAUAUAAAUACCAAAAUUUUUGGCAAAAAAAAUAAUUUUAUAUGUAUAGUUUAAAUUUUUGACAUGUUAUAAAUUUAAAAAAUCAUCAUGUGUCUUUUAAUUAAUUUAAAUUUCAAAAGUUAAAAUUCAAAUUUAUAAUUAAAAUUAAAUAAAUUGCAAAUAUUUCUUUUCCCUUUAUGCUAAAAUACACUAAAUGUCUAUAUCUAAAUCAUUAAUUAAUUUGUCUCCUAUCAUACUAUUAUAAAUAGAUAGUUAAAAUGUUUAUUUUCAAUAUAAAAUUAUAGGUUCUGCACCUUUUUUCCUGUCAUUUUCUUUUUCUUUUUAUUUUUUAUCUUGUAAAGUUUCAUUACUGGUGGUAAAAAAAUUAUAAGUGUGCAUCAUUUAUAUUAUUAUAUUUUUUGGUUAAAAUAUAUGGGAUUUGUGUUCUUUUUUUUUUUCUUACUUUUUUAUUUCAUUUUAAUAUACCUUUUGCAAACUAUAGAUAGUGUUGAAUAUACUUUAUACUUUAGUUUAUAUAAUUUGAUUUAAUUUUGAUAAAAUUAAUUAUAUUGAUAUAAGAUAAUUUAAUCUUUUUCUCAAUUAAUUUUAAUACUUAAUUGAUUUUAUUUUGAACAAUUUAAUUACAUUUAUUUUUUUUAAAUAUAAUAAAAUUAUCAAGAGAAAGAAAAUAUAAUCAAAGUGUAAUUAAUAAGUAUUAUAUUUAUAAGUUUUAAUGUAAGAACUAACUUACUAUUUACUUAACCAUAUCACAAAGAAAAUAAUUAUAAUUUCAAAUUGCUAAUCGAUGCAGCUCAUGAGUAAAUAUAAAAAGUCAAAAUAUUUGCUUUUUUUUUUCAUGAUUAAGUGUAGGGAAUAUGUUAUAUAUAUAAUUAAUAUUUUUACCACCAUUCACACUUUAUUAAGCAAAUAUUCACUUUCAAUAUUUUUCCCAAAUUAACUUUUAGAAUCUAUACGUAAUCUUUACUUAAAGUUUUCAAAAUGUGAAAGUCUAGAGUUUUUUUUUUUUUUUAAAUAAUAUUACAUAAAUAAUUAAUAUCUCGUUGUAAUUGCUUUACGUAAAUUGCACUAAAAAACUUAUAAGAAUCUCUCUAAUUCAUAUUAUAAAUUGAAAAUUAUGAUAAGUUAAGAUUAUUUACAGGUUACCCUCCAAAAACUUCCAAAUGCAUCAAUUUUGUUGUGAUAAAGUAAAAUUUUUACUACACAAUUCUAUUAAUUUAUCUUGAAAAAAAAUUCACUUAUAUCAAUAUAAGUUUUACACUAUUUCUUACCUUUGGAUCAAAACGGUCAAGUGUACAUGUUAUAAAUUUAAUUUUAAUCUAAAUAUUUAAAAAUAUAUGUAAUAUUUAAUAUUAGUUUAAGUGAAUCUCUCUUUAUUUAUCUUGAUUCCUUUAAUCUAAUUUCAUUUUCUUCUAUUUUCCUAAUUACCCUAACCUUAUCUUAAAUUUUCUGAUACAACUCAAACGUUGUGAUUAAUGAUUGAGGUUGACUCUCAAAUCUCAAUCUCAAAUAUAAUGAGAAAUUUAUUUACAUGAAUUCUUUCUAUUAUUAUUAAUAAAUAAAGGCUAUGAAAUUUAACAAUUUACAAUUUUUUUUAUAUUGUCCUUCUAAAUACAAGAUAAGAUAUUAUUAUCGUGAAAUCAUGCUUAAGCAUAAUUUUUAUUCAAAAAAAAUAUUUAUUGAUUUAUUAUUUUCAAAAUGAUUAUUAAAUUCAAUAAAGUUAAAUAAAAUUUAAUUUCAAAAGGUAAUAAUUGAUGCAAAUGAAUGAAUUUGAAUUAAGAAAUAUCUGGAUUCACAGGUGACUACAUAUGUUACGGGUCGAGACUUAAAUUUCGAAUUCACGCGAUUUCGGGAUUCAGACAUUCACUUAUUCGAUGUCUCGAAUCAGUCUAACUGCCAUGGUUAACACCCUUAUGAGGUAUUGUCCGCUUUGACUUUCAUGGUCUCACGAUUUUAUCCUACAAAAAACGUCUUACAAGGGAGAGGUGAUGUGAACCCUUUUAUACUCCAGUGACCCUCUUUUUACGUUUGAUGUGAGAUUUAAGACUCCUCUUUAGGUCCGUGAUAUUCUCCUUUAUCCAACCUCGUGACGCCCUCGUCAUGGAGGUUGGUCACCCUGUCUACCUCUUUUGAGGUGCUUGGUGUGGAUCGAACUGUAUAGAGCUAACUUUGAUACCACUUGUCACAGGUCAAGACUUAAGCUUCGAACCCACGCGGCUCCGGGGCCUGAACAUCUACUCAUUCGACAUCUCAGAUCAACCUACCUGUAACGAUUCACACCUUUGUGAGGUAUUGUCAGCUUUAAUCCCUCUAACUUCACGGUUUUGUCUUACAAAAAGUGCAUCACAAGAGAGAGGUGGUGCGAACCUUUUAUACUUCAGUGAUCCUCUUUUUAUGUUCGAUGUGAGAUUUAAGACUCUUUUUUAAAUUCACGACACAUAAUUCUUAAUGCCACAUAUCUAAAUAAUAGUUAUUGGUUUCUUUUUUUGGAUUGAUGACUGAUUUAAAUGUAAGAAAAAAGACUUUGUUUAAAACAUUUUUUUUAUUUACAUUUUAAUCUAUGCCAUGUAUUAAAAGCAAUCUCACGAGAGUUGUUUAUUUUUAUACGGUUGAUUUCAAUUAUUUUAAAUUUAUUUUUUUAUUAAUUAAAAGAACAAUGAAAGAAAAGACCAAACAAAAAUAAGUUUCCAAAGUUUUAAUUGAAACUUGAAAGAUUAUUUUUAUAUAAAAUAAAAAAUAUUUUUAUACAUUUUUAUUAAAAGAAUGGUUCUUGACAUAUAUCCUACCUAAAGAUAGGUUUGAAAAUUUUUCUAUUGUUGAAAGUAUUAUAGUGUUUUAAAUGAUCAUGAAUUGAAUUGAAAAAGACGGAAACAUCUAGAAUAAAAAGGGGAAAGACAGAUUGAGAAAAGAAGAACAAUGAAAAAAGAAGGGAAGUGUUGAUUACAUAGAAUAGACUAGUUUGGCUUGAGGAGUUUGAGAAACCCAUGUUUUUAAAUUUACACUAAAAAUUAAAGAUACGGUAUGAUGGUUAAUGAUUAAUCUUUUUAUCAUGGGUGGCAAUCCAAUAGUGAAUUUUAUAAUUAAUUUACAUUGUAUUUUUUUUUGUUACAUAAAAUUUGAUGAUAAAUAAAUUGUUUAAUUUUUUAAGUUAUGAUAAGAUAUAUCGUACUUGAUAAUUUAAAACAGAUAAUUAUAAAUCGUAUAUUCGAUAUGAUCUCAAUAAAUGAUCAUCGACAAAACUCGAACAAAAAAUCUAUUUAUCCAUGAGAAUAAACUUAAUCGAUUAAACAAACAAUUUUAUUGGUAUUAAUUUACAUUAUUUUAUUUUAUUAAAAUAUCUUCAAGCAAAAUUUUUUUAUAUUUUUAUAUAAUUUAGUGUCCUUUUUUAGAACACAACGAAAGUGACAAUCAAAAUAAAUUUAAAAAAUAUGAACCCUUAUUUUAUUUGUUACAUUUGUAUAAUCUAUUUUUAAUUUUUUUAUUCGUUGUCGUAGCUUUAUAUUUCUUGUUUUAUUUUUUCUAGAACUAUUUUUUUUAUUUUUAUAUUAUCUUUAUUGUUAUUAAUUAACAAAAAAAAUUACACCCUUCAAUUACCGUGCAAAUUAAAAAUACUUAAGGCCGUAAUGAAGUGCGAGAUCUCAUACUAGUAAAAUAAUUAUAUGUACCUUAUAUAAAAUUAAAAAUAUAUAAAACAAGAAAUUUGCUUUAUUUUUCUCCAUAAUUUAGAAUAAGAAAUAUGUUUUUUUAUUUAGUUAUUGAUUUUAGUGCAUUAAAUUCAUAAUUAAAGUCUUUAGAAAUAGGCAUAAAAUUAUCUUAAUUGCAUGACUUUAGACAAUUGCAAUAUUCAUUGACCACCUAAUAUAGAAAUAGAGUUGGCAUCAGGUCGGGUUUUAUUCACCCUAAAUCUCAUCGGAUCCGAUUUAAAAUUAAUAAAAUAUUAUUUUUAAAAAUAUAAAAUAUUAUUUUUUAAAUAUAAAUAUUUAAAAAUAUCAUUAUAUAAAUAUAUAUAAAUAAAUAAAUAAUUAAUUAAUUAAAAAAUAAAUUUUUAUAUAAUAUUAGGUCGGGUAGGAACUCGUCGGAAACGUGUUAGAUUACCGACCUUAUAUAAAAAUAAUUUUGAAAAAUCAUAAAUCAUUACUAUGAAAGAUCAUUAAUCAUAUUGAUCAUAUAGCAUGCACAAGACUUUAAGAUUUAUUUUUUUACCAGAAGAGAUUAAUUUAUGUAAUGUAAAACUCUUUUAAUUUUACAUAAUUUUCUAAUAAAUCCAAAGGGUAAGAGAGAUAAAUAAAUAUAAAAAUAUAAUUUAAUAUCAUCCAUUAAUUUAUUGAAUGAUUAAAAAUGUAUAAAACUAAAAAUAUUUUACACUUUGUAAGUUGAUCCUUCCUCUUCUUUCAUAUAACAAUAAUUUUGUGGUAAUUUUCAUAAUUUCAUAAUUAGUUUUCUUUAUUUAAAAUUUUAAUUUUGAUAAAAAUAUAAAAUAUGCAUUAACAAAAUUAUAAAUAAAAUAAUUAAAAAUAAAUAAUGUUGAAAUAUUGCCCAUAAAAAAUUAUGAAAAAAAUUUAUACAAGGAAUCAAAUACUAUUCAAUUUUGUUUAAAUAUCAUUGUAUGAAAUAAGAUACAGAAUCAUCUUUCUUUAAACUUUAUUAUUAUGUAGUUUAAUACUGAUCUACAAUAUAUAUUUUUUACUUAUUUUAUAUUGAAAUUUUUAUACUUUUAUAUAAAAUUUAUUAAUUAUAUUAUAAUUAUAUAUAUUUAUAUAUAUUACAUAGCCGUGCUUCACUUGGGCUUGAAACUAGUUAGCAUUUAAUCCAAGUCUCUGUCUUUCAUUUUCAGCAAUCAAACUUGCAGAGUUCACAAACCAAAGGCUACACAGACUAGACGACUAGAACCUAGAAUAGCCCAGGCUAGAAGUAAAAUAGCCCAAAAGAAAUGGUUUGGCCUACCAAAUGAAACUAACCAUCUUCUCUCCUUCUAACCCCACCACUGGCAUCGGACAGGCUUUCCACGUGGAAAGUAUGUACGUUAUAAUUUAUAUAAGACUCCUUGUUCCCAACCAAUUAAUGACUUGUCCAUUCAACAACUGCUCCGGGAAUUGGAGAACUUACCUUGUCUUUAGUGACACUUAUAAAUGUUGCAAAACCAUCAGGCGUGUUGAAGUCCCAGGGUUGGAAGCAAAGCAGAUUAUCAUCCAUUGAUUAUGUGCAACACUUUCAUUGAUGAAAAUAUUUGCUCAUGCCACAGCCGAUAUUGCUCCUGUCAAAGAUUCAAAUUGCGGUCGGUUAAUAAUGUAACCGUCACUGUUUCACGAUUGCUCUAUUAUCUAUUACUAUUAUUUAAAAAAACGAAAUAAAAAAUUAAAAAAAUUUUGAAUAUCAUUUAUAGCGGAUAAAUAGUAACAAUAAAUUAUGAUGUAACGAUAAAUAACGAUAAAAAAAUAAAAAAUAAUUUAAAUUUUAUCUAUAACGGAUAAAUCACCACUAUAAAUUAUAAUGUAAUAGUAAAUGGUAAUAAUAACAGUCCGUUAUUAUUGUUAUUUUUAUUUUCAUUCAAAAAUUUUUAAAAAAAUUCAUUUGAUUAUAUUUAAAAACUUAAAAUAAAAAUAACAAGAAAAAAAAUAAACAUUAAUUUAUAAAUUCAAAAAACAAAACCCACAAAACUUAAACUUUUAAAAAUAUCAAUUCUCUCAAAUUCAAUUUCAAUCAAAAUCAAAUAUAUACAAUUUAAUAUAAGCAAUUAAUUCAACACUCAAAUUUUUUUUUUAAUUUUUAAAUUUAUUGUAAUUUUGUAUGUUUAGGAUUAGAUUAGACUAUGAUAUAUUGGUAAAAAAGAAGGUAAGAGUUAUUAAGAUUUAAAAUGAGAGACAAGAGAUGAGAGUGAGACUUAAGGUUGACGGAAACAAGUAGAUAACACACACUAAAUAAAAAAAAAACUAAGAGAUGAGGAUAAGGAUGAGUUUGGAGAAAAAAAUUAUUGAAUGCAAGGAGAAAGAAUGAGAAGUUAUGUGAAUCUAUGUAAUUUAAUCAAAAGACAGAAGAAGUAUACUUGAGGUUAUUAUUGUUGAAAAUUACCCACAACAUGAAGGCUAUCAAAUUUGAUUUACUGUAAGCUCAUAAAAAGUAAUUCUCUUGACUCAUAAAUAAUAAUACUCUUUAUUUAAUUUAUGAAUAUUUAAUAAUUUUAUUAUUUGAUUUAUGCAUAAUAAAUUCGUUAAUAAUUUGAUAAAUACGAUAAUUAAAUAAUUAAAUUUAUUAUUUGUUAUGAUUAUUUAUUUUUCACAUGUUUAUUUAUCUCUUAUUAUUUUUUAAUUAUCAUAUAAAUAAAUUUUUUAAAUAUAAAUAUUUUACUAUAAAUAUUUUUUUAAAUAAAUAAAACAUAUAAUAUGAUAUAAAUUAUUUUAAAAAUCAUAAAAUAAAAAAUUUUUAUGAUUAAUAAUUAAAAUUAUUAUAUUUUAUAAUAAAUUGAAUAAAAUUUAAAAAAAUUCAAGAUUAUAAUAACUGUAAUUAUAUCUACAACCGUAACAAAUAUAAUGUGACCGAAACCGUAAUCACUAUCAUAAUUUAAACCCCUGACUCCUGCUGUCCAAAGUAAAUCAAAAUACAAUGAUCAAAAGCUCGAGGGGAGCCUGUCCCUGGCUAUUACAAGCAAGCCUUGUUCAUUACUUCUUAUUUUUCAUUGGGCGACUCUUACUAGUGAUUUAUAUCUCACUGAACAUUGCCCAACAAACAAACCAGAAAUAUACAAUUACAUCUUUAUCACUUAAUUACAUCUUCAUUCGUCGUGUGAAAUUACACCCUUCCAACCGGGGAAAGAGGUGGAUAUGAGACAUAUCUAGCAGGGGCCUCUCCUUCAAUAGGAUUAGGAGCACUUAUUCUGUCAUUUAAUGUGGUUUCCCCCAGAGUUCUUUCUUCAGAAAGGGUUACUGAUUCUAAAAGCUCGCAGUGUUUUCUACUAUCCCAAACUGCUAUACAAAUGGAAAAUGCUUGCAUAAGCGAAAGCGAUGAAUUGAACUCAACAGAACAAACUCCAUCCUUGAAAGGGGCCAAGCUGAAGAAAUGCUUGUCUUGUACUCCUCCCUGUUAGUUAUGAUAAAAACAAAGAAAGAAUUCAGUUGAAAUUUUCAAUAUAAUAAAAUGGACAUUUUACUUUAAUUGGCUUAAGAUCCGCAAUCAUACCUGAAAGAAAAGUUCAAAUUGAUUGGAAAUUGAAGAACCUUUCAAAGAACUAGAUUGCUGGCUGAAUUGGCUUUUGUUAGAAAGAAUCCUAAGUUUGCAACCCAAAUCCCAACCACCACAGUCACAAGUUCCACCUGAUUUCCAUCGUUGGAUAAGUGACGAAGGUUCACCUUUAUUUGGCAGGCUAUGUACACCACUUGGAAGUAUGACUGUAGCACUAAUGUCUUGACCACCCAAUAAAGCACCUUUUUUCCCAUAAUCAAGUUCAAGUUUUACCUCUGGCGAACACUCUUUCAAUGCAGCCUCAGGCAAGUUGUUACGCUUAUCAAUCAGAUACCCAUCUCUGAUUGUACAUCUUCCGUUCCUUUUCGGGAUCUUGAUAACAAUAGCUGCCUGUUCAUCAUUUGGAUGGAAAUCAGAUGCUUGUUGAUUUGCCUGUCCUACAUCCAAGGUAAGAAGAACAAAUUCUCUAAUGCUAAAUUGAUCCACAUGGUUUGGCGUGGACAAAUGAGAAAAUUCAGAACCAAAAACCUUCAUCUGUGCAACAUUAGGGAUAUAAUCCUGACCUUUGCCUUUCCCUCCUUGAUUUAUCCACCUUCCAUUCUUUUUCCUAACUUCUUGAAUGGCAAAGAAUGUGUAAAUGCAUCCAUAAUCACCCUUCCCUGAGGCACUUAACGUCUUCACUGUAGCUGCAAGAAUGGUGCUCUCAUUAUCAACAGCAAAGGUGAACAGAGGCAACCCAUUCUUAACUUGAACCCUGAGAAGAGCUUGAACUGCUGAAGAUCCAUUCUUUUUGUUCUGUUCUGAAUCAUUUACAUUGAUUGUGCAAUGACUGGUUGUAUCUGAUUUCACUUUCGCUGGCUGCACAGUCACAGUUGAAUGUCUUAGCCUUUCUGAUGAUUUAUAGGCACCUUCUGUUAAUAUUGAGUCCUGCAAUUGGUUGGUAAAAUUGCGACAGUUAACUGCCUUUGGUUUCAGAAGUGGGUCUAAUAGUCUUCUCAAGGGGCUGGACCUGGAUCUGCUUUUAGCAUUGGGUUUAUCACCACAAGAAGUAUCAACACCAGAAGCAACAUGAUUCUCCGGAUCAGUUUUGGCAGAACUACAUGUUGAGCACACCUGAGGUAUUGAAGAAUCCUCCUUGGGGCCAGAUCUUUUGUCUGUCUUACCCAUGCUGAAGCUAAAACGACGGAAAGGUGAAGUGCUUCGUACCUUUUUAAAUGCAACCUUGCUUUCUUUUGGGUCUGAUCCUUUGUAAGCCUCAUUUGCAGGAUAAACUAUUGGUUUUGCAUUUAACUUUUUUUCCUCUAGAUUUCUGCUUCUGGAAGAAUUAAUUUCUAUCUUUGCUGCCCGUGGCACAGAAUGAGAUCUUUCUGAUGUAAAGUCAUUACCAUUUGCAUCUAUGGAGCCGAUGGCUUUAAUCCGUAAAUGUUUACUGCCAUCAAGUUCACAAGGCAAUGGACCUGAAUGAUGGUAAUUGGAACUGAGCAUUGCAUGGUGAGCCUCUUUAAAUGUUUCCAGGAAGGUCCUCCGACUAGGUUCUGCUUCUUUUUUACUUGACUUUGUUGUUAAAUCAGAAAGGAUGGCUGCUCCUGAAUAAUUCGUUUUGGGAAAAUCUCUUGGCAGAAGGAGGACAACUGUGUUUCUGUUUUCACUGAUAUCUUGGUUGGCCCCUUUUGGAAUAACUUCUUGAAACUUCUCAGCUUUCUUCAUAAAUUCACCAACUUGUUUCUUCAUUUUCACCUUGUCACAUGAUGCCACAUUAUCUUUUACCCCGUUUGGCACAGUUCCACUUUCUGAAUCAAUCUUUGGGUGCAUUUCUCUUCUCUUGCACUGUUCCAGCUUGAUUUGUGCAUUAUUUUUGCUAAAGGAUUUAUCUUCUCCGAUGAAUUUCCCCUGAACAGUGAAGUUGUUGCUAUGUGCAGCCCUGAGAUCUUGAAACUUUCCAACACUUUCACUAAAAGGUUUGACAAAUGGCAAAUGGCCUUCUAUGGGGACCGACAUCAGAUGAGAUUGCAGUGAAGGACGUUGUAAUCUUUGACGAGCAGGAGAGCAACUGUGACCUCUACUCGAAUGUGCUGAUGAUUCAUCAGUUGAAAACGAGGAAGAUGUGUUGCUGCUGGACAGUGAAGAGAUACUACUUCUAUGUAAGAUCUGUUUAUGGCUACACUGCCAUUUUUCAAGGCGCCCCCACUCAAGGACCCCAACAUUUAAAACUUUUUCCUGGGGGUUUGAUCCUCUCUCCAGAUAACUUGGUAAAUUUGACAUGUACUUCACCAGCUCAUCUUCUUCGUUUGCCUUGAUAUCAGCAUGUUCUUUUUUAUGCUUCCAUGAAGAUUCAGGUGUGACCUCUUUUCCACCUUCUGUAAUUUCUUGAUGAAGAUCAACAUAUGACAAAUUAGGCUUUUCAGGUUUCAAUCUGCCUUGCAUAUUUGCCCUCUGGCUUCCUAGGGGCAACAUCGUCUUUACAGAAGUUCCAAAGGAUUAAUCUCUUGAAUUCUUUAUGGGCUCUAAAUGACAUUCCAUAGACUGGAUAGGUCUUACUCACUCCCGAUCCUUUUCAGCUGCACAUUUUUUUCUCAAUUCACAUUCAUGCUGGCCACUGCGGAGAUAAAAACAAACAUUGGGAAACAAUAUUACAAUCAUAUGAAAUUGAAAAAACAUGUUUAUCACAUACAUAGUGGCAUAAGGUUCAGUAACUGGAGCAACAAAGAGAACACAACUCCUAAAGUAACAAUCAGUGAUUCUAUUAAGUCUUAACCAAUGAUGAAGUUGUGAGAUAUACCCAUAAGCCAAAAUCUAAUGUCAAGAUCCUCCGCUGAUUACAAAUUGCAGAUGAUUCCUUACUGUUAAAUAAGAGCCAUGCAUUUUUUCUCUUCAAAAGUUCCCAGAUUAUGUAUUAAGUACAAAUUCACAAUUAACACAGCUCAAAGCACUUCCAAAACUAACAAAUUUACUGCAAAAUGGACCCCCAGUGAACGAGGUUGAUGUAUAGUUUGUAGAGAAUCGAGAGUGAGUGAUCCAUAAGAAAAAAUAAAACAAAACAGAUUGAACGCAAUUAUUCAGAUAAGGUACAAAUGAAGCGUCGUCAUCGAAUCCGCUUAAGUUUAAUGGAAACGACAAGAUCGCCCUAAGCUUAUUCCAAAAAACAAGCACAAUCAUUUUUUCAAAAUUCGAAACAAUAAAAACCUCGUUUAUUUCACCAAAAUAAUCAAAUACAAUUUCUUAAAAAAAAUAAAUUACUUCAAAAGAUUCAUUUCUACCUUUUUCUCUUUCCGGAAUCUAGAUAUUGUAAAUGCAUAAUUAUUAGAAUUAUUUUUUAAAAAAAUUAAAGAAAAAUGAAAUAAAUGCUUGGUAUUUCACCAGCAUUGAAAAUUUUUCCAGAGAACCAAGCAGAAAACACUUUCUGGAGCGAGAGAAUGAGAAAGAAAAGAAAAACAUACCGGUCUGAGUACAGUAAAUGCAGAAAGUAACGCCGGUCAGUAACGGUAACGGAGAACACGAACGCCUCGGAGAAGAAACACCACGUGUCGGCGGCGCAUUGGACAGUUAAAAAACCGGCGAAAUAACAGAAUAUCCAAGGCAAAAAUUGAGAUAUAAGAGCUCCAGAGAGAGAGUGAAGUAAUGAUGAAUCCAAAUCCCAACUCCUUUAGCUUUUGAAACAAAUUUUUUAAGUUCUUCAAAAACCAAAACCGAAAACCGCAACCGGAAGAGUGAUAACUUAAUGGCUGGAACUCAUUUCUUUUCCUUUAUUUAUUUAUUUAUUUAUUUGCAGUAAAGAGAGUCAGAGAAAGAAAGGGAAAGGCAGUUAGGACUUGGGGAGGGAGGCGAUUGUAUCAUAUAAUUAUUUAUGUAAAAAAUUGUUUUUUGAUCGACGGUAGAAAAUGUAAGAUUUGUGAGAUAGGAUUAAAUCAAAUGGUCACAUCAGAUCAGAAAGACGCGGGACGGCGAGGCUAUCUCUGCUGGUCCCUAUUCUGUGUUAUUGUUGAUUCUUGAAAGGACCUUUGCUCAAAAGUUGUUUUAUCAAAGUGAUGGACCCACCCUAGAUUAGAUCUAAUUUUGUGGUAGGGUCCAUUACUGAUGGAUGAACGGUCUGAUGGAGUGUUGAUAAUCGGGAUUAUACUUACUGAGAGUACCAGACGAUCGUGAUUCUCUUCCUUUCCACAUGUCUUUUGAUUAGGAUUUUUUUUACUUGAAUAUUUGGUUUACUAUUUAAUACCUUUAAAAUUAAAUUUUUUUUAUUUAAAAAAUAACUCGCUUCCUAAAUAAAAAAAAUUAUGUUAUUUAAAAGAUUAUUAUUAGUAUUAGUAUUAUUACUAAUACAUAGUUUCUAUUAAUUUUAACAAAUUAUUUUUAUUAUUUGUUAACAUUUAAAUUCAAUCAUAAUUGAUAUUCAGUAUAUCAUAAAUUUAAAUUUUAAUAUUUAUAAUUUUUUAUUUUAAAUUAUAACCUCUUUUAUGCUAAAAAAAUCAAUAAUAAUUUAUAGACUUAUGAUCAUAAUCAUUUAAUAUCAUAUAUAUAAUUUCAUAAAUUAAAAAUUUUAAUUUAAUUUUUUUGAAUUUAUUAAUAUUAAUAAUAAAAUAUAUAUAAUUAAAAUAAUUUUAUAUUAUGUACAUAAAUCUCUUCUCUUAUAUCAAAAUUAUUAUCGAAAUAUGUUCUUGCAUUAUAUAAAUAUUAAGGAGCUUUUUUUUAAGUAUUAUUUCUUAUCUUUGUUAUGCCAAGAAUUAUUUUUUAAGUAUCUUUUUAUUUAUUCAAUAAUUAAAAACUAAUUUGAACGUUGAAAUCGCAUUAAAAAACAUCAAUUUCGACGCUUUUUAAUUAUUUUUCUGGGAAUCUUCUUGUUAAUGUCAUUAAAAUUACACUUAGUAAAUUUGAACAUUAACAAUUUUAAUGUUCAAAUUAAAAUCUUUAUAUUAAGAUUUUAAUCAUUAAGUUUAAAUUCUUAUCAUUUUUAAAGUUUUUAAUUGCUUAUUCACAUAAAAAAUCACAUAUAUUUUAAGCUGAUAAAAAAUGCUAACAUUUGAAAAAAAAGUGCAGUUUUUAGAGAAAUAAUGCAUGAGAUUUGUUAAGGCGGAGUAAAAUUUGGUUAAAAUCGAAAAAAAAAAAAAUUAAUUUUUAGAAAAAAUCAGGUUAGAUAAUUCUAAGUUAUGUAAGUAUUUCAGUUAUUAUUUUGAUUUAAAAAAUUAAAAUAAUUAAUUUUUAAUUUUAAAAUAUUUAAAUUGAAUAAAUCAAAAUAUCUAAUUUAAUAUAAAAUAAAUAAUUUAAAAAAUAUGAUAUAAAUAUAUCCAAUAAUAUAAUGUAGAUAUAUUUAAUGUAAUAAAUAAAAUUAAAAUUGAGUGAAAUUGAUCAUUUUAAUUUAAUUUAAUUUUUUUAAUUAUAUAUAUAUAUCAAUUAAUUUAAAUUUUAUAAUAAAUUAAAUCGAUUAAAUUAAUUAUUUAAUUUUUAAGAUCGAAUUAAUUGAAUCGAUCAUUUACUCUCAGGUCCCAAAAGUGACUACCUCUUAGUCUUUUACAUUAAAAACAAAUUGAAAGCAUGCUAAUAUUAUCUAAUUUAUAGUUUAUUCACACCAAAAUAUGAUGAUUUUUCAAGAGAAAAAAAAAAAAGAAAGAGAUGCCAUGCCUUUGAACCCGCUCCUGAUUUCAGAAGUAUCCACUUUGAGUCCAAAGCAAAAGACAAGGGAAAAGGGGUAAAUUGAAAAAGGAAUAUUCAAGGACAAUUAUGGAAGAUCCAACAAUAUCUUUGUACAAUUAUGAUUUUACUAUUAAUUUCAAAAUUAAUUGAUUUAUUACGAAAGCAUAUUAUUUAUAAUUAUUAAAAUUAAUUAAUUAAUUAUAAUUUAAUGUUAUGUAAGAUUUAAAAAAAAAUCAUUAAAAUAUAUAUUUUUAAAUGAUGACUUUUUAUAUAAUUUUUUAUUAUAAUUAAUUAAUUAUAAUAAUAUAAAAAUUUUUAUGGAUCCGUUAAAAAAGCAAUCAAAAAGAUGAUUUAAUUGACAUGAUAUUGUUCUCAGUACAUGAAAUGCUUUUGUCUUUUAGCCUUUUUGCCAUACUUUAUAAAAAAAAAAAAAUCUUGCUUGUGCUUCCUUUGCUUAAGCAGAUUUGGAAUUUAUGAGAUGUUGACGUCACCCAUAAUUCUAUCUUCAUUGUUUUUAUUAUAUUUGGAGAUGAUUUGUUUAUAUUUCUAAAAAAACUACAUAAUUUUUUCUAUUGAUAAUCAUAUCCAAAAGCCAAGCUAGCUUUGAUUGAAACCUUGAUUUGAAUAAAAAAAAAAGGUUACUCGGUUUUUUUUUUUUUCAAUAACAAAUUUUCAUUAAGAUCCCUACAAUAUAACUGUAUAGUUAUGUUAUGAACAAAUAAGGAAAGAUAUGGAAAAAGCUGAAUUGCUAUUGAUUUUGUUUUCCUCCUUUUGGGAUAAAAAAUAAUUUUUUUAUGUUGUCUUGUGUGGAAGUAUAAAAGAUUUUGAGCUAUAUAGUAAAAAAUAAUUAAUCUUCUCAAAUUAUUUAUUUUUAUUUUUAAUUUUAAAAUUCGAAAUCGAAACCUUCAAAGUAAAAUUGUAAUAAUUGAUUUGUCCAAUUGGAGAUGAAAGGAAAAAAAAAUGAUGCAUACAAAUGAUUGUGAUGGUUGAUUUUGUGUGAAAUUUGCAAUUGAAUCACAUGAGGACCAUAAGAAAGCAACUUGAAUAAAAAAAAUAUUUGAGCCAUGAGUUAUAAGAUUGAUAAUCAAUUCUAUAAUACAUUACCCUAAUAUUUAUUCAACCACCAUGUUAAAAGUUCCUUAUUGUGGUGGUGCACAUGUGGUCUUUAAUUGCUUCACUCAUUAUUCCACAAAUCUUGUAAUAUAAAAUAAAACCAUGUAACAUCCCUUUCUUUGUAAAGGAGAAAUUAUUCCCACAUGAUCCAAAACUUAUCAUCCAAAAAAAGGAAAUAAACCAAUUAGCUUUCCUAAAUCCAAAGAAGGGCCACUUUAAAAAUUAAUUGGGUUAAAAGUAUUCAAUUUUAAACAAAAUGGUACAGUUAGUGAUAGUUUUUUCAUUUUGUUACUCAUUACAUGCUCCUACUAGGUUGAUAUGAAAUUUGCAAGGGUUAUAUAAUUUUGUUACUCAUUACAAAAUAAUUAUUUAAGUUUUUGAUAUUUUAUUACAAUUAAUUAAGUUUUAAAUUUUUUACUUUGAAUCAAUUAAAAUUUUAAAAUUUUAUUUACAUCCAAUUGAAUCCUUAUAUAUUUAUUUUCAUUUAAUUAAAUCAUUGAUCGAAGGAAAGCAUGUAAUUAUUUUUCUUUUAAUAAAGAUUCGAUUGAUAAAAAUAAAUGUUUAAAAGUUUAAUUAAUUGUAAAAUAAAUAAAUAAAAUUAGAUGAUUAUUAAAUUUUAAUUCAUGAGCUUUUUUACUAUUUUACCUAUAAAUUUUUGGUUAUAUUUAACAAUAUCUUUAAUUGAAUUAAAUUUAUUAAUUAGAUCAUAUAGUGUAAUUUCAAGUUAAAUACUUAUAAGUGAAAAAAAAAUCCAAACUCAAAAAAACAAAUGGGACUUUAAUACCUUGUUAAGUUACUUUUAAUUAUUAACUUUUAAACAUUACAAAAUUUAUACUUAUUUUUGAUAAUUUAAUCAUUAAAUAAAAUUUUAUACGAAUAUAAAAAUUUUGAUUUUGAGUUGAGAUCUGAUCUUUAUUUCUCUUUUUUUAAGGAUUAUGUCCUUUCUUAGUGAUUUUAUUCUCUUCAUUUCUUUUAGAAAUAUUAUUUUUUGGUCAAUUAAAAAAAUAUUAUUUUAUUAUAAGAAAUUAUGGGAGAUUUCAUUUAAUAAUUUUAAGAGAUUAAUUUAAAAUUCUAUCACUAUAUACUCAUCUCAAUAUAUGAAAAUAUAUAAAAUUUUUCACCUAUUUUCAAGUGAUGAUCAUGAAGCUCUGGAAACUGAUAUGCCAUCAUUGAAAAGAAAAUCACCGACAGUGGUCCAAUUGUUUAGAAAAUCGAGGCAGGAUGAUCUUUCACCACUUGAAAACUUUUUUAAUUGUUUACUUUUAGUGGGGGAAACAGUGUGGAAAAGACAAGGAUCGUCGCCAUUUGUACGGUUGAACAUUACUAUCAUAUUAUUCCAUUUUCCCGGAAAGUGAAACCCAUCAAAAUAUAAUUUAUUAAAAAAUUUUCAGACUCACUGAAUGUGUUAAUUAUAUACGUACAUUAAUAUUCCUUGUUGAGGAGCUUUCUGUCUCCUUAAAAAGAAAUUGGAAAUUGUGAAGCGAAAGGGUAUAUCAAUAAUUCCUCUUAAAGCUCACAAUGUUCUUUUGGUAAGGUAAGAAAUAAUUGAACCCGAUAUCAACUCUGUUCUUAACUUUUCCUUCGGAUUCCUGAACUGGAAGAAACUGAUCACGUAUGCGCAAUGUUAAUGUCUUCGUAUAUGUGAAGGGAAAAACUCGAAAAUGCAAAGGAGAGAAAUUGGUUAACGAUAAAAUUUUAAAAUUUUUUAACGUUUGUAUUUCAAUAUUUAAAUUAAUAUUUGAUUAAAAAAUAAAAAAUAAAUAUGGAAAUCAAAGUUUUCAGUUAGUUAAAUUUAUCUUUAAGGAGAUAUUUAUAUUUAUAUGAUAGGUACAUUGAGUUUAGAUAGCUCGAGUUAUGAGUAGCAAGAUUUGAACUGAUAUUGUAUGUUUGAGUUAAAUUAACAGCUAAUGAUAUAAUUAAGAGAUAAUAAAUUAAUAUUCUCUUGUUAACAAUAAAAUCUUAAAUGUUUUUUUACGUUUGUAUUUUGAUAUUUAAAUUAAUUUUUGAUUAGAAAAUUAAAAAGAGGGAAAGACAAAAAAUAUAUAUAUGGAAAUCAAAGUUUUCAAUUAGUUAAGAUUAUUUGAAAGAGGAUAUUUAGACUUAGAUCGUUUCAGUUUUAAUUUGUGAUUUUAGAGUUGAUAUCAUAAACUCAAAUUGAAUUGACAGUCAACGAUUCUAUUAAGAAAUGAUAAAUCAGGAUUCUCAUAUGCUACUAAACGAUCAGUGAAAUAGUUAAAUUAAUGUAAAAUUUGAAAAUUUAAAUCGAUUUGAUAUGUUAAUUUUGUUAUGAAUCAUCAUAAUUUUAAUAUCACUUGUUAAAGAUUAUCAUAGCUUUGAUAUUAUUUAUUAGAGAUCAUCAUAGUUUUGAUAUUAUUUGUUAGGUAAAAACCCAAAUUUAAUUCAUAUCAACGGAAGCAUAAUCAAAUAAUAAGUUAAACAUACAAAAUAUAUUAAUUUAACGUGAUGCGAUCCAACCGAUUUACAUCUACGAAUGAAAAAUAAAAUAUAUUAAUUGUAGAGAAUUACAAAUAAAUAUCAAAUCAAAUCAGAUACUCAUAACUAAUACUUAUAGACCCUUUCAAUUUUUUUAGUCCUAUGAAACAUUCUCAACUCAAAUAAACACAUCUCAUGUGUACAGUUUCAACACAAAUAAACACAGACAUAUAUAUACCUAUUCAUCAUAUCUGUAUGAACCAUCUCAAUCUUUUAUAGUAUAUUCUUAUAUACCAUACAAACAUAUAUACCCAUAAGACAUAAAUAUUCGAUAGUCUUACGGGGUGUCUAUAUCAUAAAAUCUUAUAACUCUCUUGGAUUUUUUCUCAUACCUAACCCUAUAAAAACUUUACUUAUUUAUAAUAUACAAACUUGGCUAUUAAGAAUUUCUUUUCUCUUAAAAUUCUUUUCCUUCAACUUAAGCUCGCCUAUUAUGAAUUAUUUUUCUUUUAGAUUUCUUAUUUUGUAAAUUUUCUUAUUCAUCAAGUAAUAUAUAACAAAUUUCAAACAAAUUUUUAUGAGAUUUAAGCCACUAUUUUUAACAAAUUCAACUAAAUUAAUUUAAUUAACCCCCACUUAUCAAAUAACUUAUACUUUAAAAUAAAAGAUUUAUUUCGCCCUUUAGAUUCUAAAAUACCUCUAACACAAUGCAUAUAAAUUACCUUAGAGUUAAUAUAAUAAUCUUUGUAGAUGAUAUACCUACGUUAAAUAUAAAUGAUGACCAUAAUUCUUAAAAAUUUUCAUAAGCAAUUUUGUAUAUUUAUAAUGUGUGAAGUCUUUAUAAAUUAGGAAUGAAAAAAAUAUGAGAAAGUUAUAAUAUUUUUGGCAUAAACACCCCAUAAAACUACAAAAGUUUAAUGUUCGUGUGUAUAUUUGAGUGAAACAAAAGAGAAUAAAAUAGUUCACAUAGAUAUGAUAAUUUGAAGUUUGUGAGUGGAUUAGAGUAAACUGAAAAAAUUUACAUAAAUAUGAGUGCAUAAAUGUAUAUGAAUUUAUAUUUGUUUAGAUUAAAAUACGUUAUAAAAUUAUAAAAGAUUAAAAAUAUUUGUACAUAUUGAUUUGCUAAUAUAAUUGUAUAACUAAUAAUUUUUUUAUUUAUAGAUAUAAAUUAAUUAGAUCAACUCAUAUUAAAUUAAUUAUUUUUAUAUAAUUAUAUAAUUAUAUAAUUAUGCUUCUAUUUACUUCUUUAGAUAAAGAUUUUUCGCCUAACAAUAUCGUCAAUUAAGACGGUGUAGGUCAUAAUUUUAGAGGAAUAAUGACAGAUCAAUAGUCAAGCUUCUUAGUCACCUUAGGUUUUAGCUUAGCUUAGAUAGCUUCUUAGAUAUGUUGACAUUGCAAUGAAAAAACCAAGCUUCUUAGUUCCCAAGGCCAUAACUUUGCUUUGCUAGCUUCUUAGAUGUGUUGACAUUGCAAUGAAAAAAGGGAUGCCUGUUGAAUGAGCCUAAUACCAUUAAAUUAAAUAAAAAGAAAAAGCUAAAAGUUAGACUCGUUGACAUUAGAAAUUGCAAUGAAAAAAAAAAAGAGAAACUAACAUUGGAAAUUAAAUAUGACAUUUUAUGUAUUUGUAUUAUGAUGAUUUUAUAUUAAAUAUAUAUAAAAUGCAAAAAAUUAUCAUAUUAUAAUUUAUGUCGGCAUGUUAAAUGUAUAAUAUAAAUUUUUAAUUUUUAUUAAAUUUAAUAUAAUUUUUAUUAAAAUAUUAAAUAUAUCUCUUAAUAUUUUUUUGCAUUGUAUCAUAGACUUGAUGAUUCAUGUAUUAAUAUUAUAUAAAACACUUAAAUUCAUACAUUUAUAUUUUAUUUCAUACAAAAAUUACGUAUCAUAAUUUAUAUUGACAUAAAAAUAUAAAAUAUAUUUUUUUGUUUUGUUAAAUCUAUAUAUAAUUACUAUUAAAAUUUUAAUUCUUGUUAUUUCAUAUUUUAUUUUUGUAUCAUAUUAAUAUCAUGUCACUAUGUUAUGUUUUAAAUUGAUAGAUUUAUAUUUAAUAUUGAAAAAUAAUACAAAUACUCAACAAAGAUAAUACAAUUAUACUAAAUUUAAUAUAAUUUUUAUUAAAAUUUUAAAUUAUAUUUCUCAAUAUUUUUUUGCAUUGUAUCAUAGACUUGAUGAUUCAUGUAUUAAUAUUAUAUAAAACACUUAAAUUCAUAUAUUUAUAUUUUAUUUCAUACAAAAAUUACGUAUCAUAAUUUAUAUUGACAUAAAAAUAUAAAAUAUAUAUUUUUUGUUUUGUUAAAUCUAUAUAUAAUUACUAUUAAAAUUUUAAUUCUUGUUAUUUCAUAUUUUAUUUUUAUAUCAUAUUAAUAUCAUGUCAUUAUGUUAUGUUUUAAAUUGAUAGAUUUAUAUUUAAUAUUGAAAAAUAAUACAAAUACUCAACAAAGAUAAUACAAUUAUACUUACAGACCAUGGCAAUAUACCAAUAGAAGUGAAUGGGCUAGGCGAGGCCCAUUUGAGAGCCGAAUGAGGAAGAAAAUCUAGGUUCCUCAGGAGAAGCCUGGAAGUCCCUUGAGUUUACUAGAUCGUCCGUUUUGGCCCAAAAUUGCUGGCCCGGGAAAGUACUAGAAUCUUCCUUUGCGUCGUUUAAAUGCCUAACGUAUCUCCCCCUUUCGAAUCAAGGAAUACAAGAAGGGAAGCAAGGGAAGUACGACUCUUAUUCUCCAAAUCCCAACCCACUUAGAAGCAAUUCCAAGAAAUUGACGAAGAAAAUGUCUCUGAUCCCAAGUUUCUUCGGCAACCGACGAGGCAACAAUUUUGAUCCAUUCUCUGUCGAUGCAUGGGAUCCCUUCAAGAAUUUCUCAUCACUUUCCCAAGAAAACUCCGCUUUCGUCAGCACUCGUGUUGAUUGGAAAGAAACCGCGGAAGCCCAUGUGUUCAAGGUGGACCUUCCUGGACUGAAGAAAGAGGAAGUAAAAGUGGAGAUCGAAGAUGACAGGGUGCUUCAAAUCAGCGGGGAGAGGAAUGUUGAGAAGGAAGACAAGAAUGAUACGUGGCAUCGCGUGGAGCGGAGCAGUGGCAAGUUCUUGAGGAGGUUUAGGUUGCCUGAGAAUGUGAAGAUGGAUCAAGUUAAAGCUUCUAUGGAAAAUGGGGUUCUCACCGUUACUGUUCCCAAGGAGGAAUUGAAGAAGCCUGAUAUCAAGACCAUUCAGAUUUCUGGUUGAAGUUUGAGGUUCUGAACAUGAGAAAAUCCUAGCAAUGGUAAUGUUUUAAGGGAUUAUCGUGUGUUGAUUGGUGUUCGCUGUUAAUAUUGGAAGUUGUCUUAGUAGAUUAUGGAAUAACAAUGUGGGGUUUUUCGUUUUUUGGCCAGUAUUACAAUGUGGUUAAAAUGAUGUAAGAAUGUUACCUGGUAAUGAAAUAAAGAGUUGUUCUUAAUUGUGUGAUCAGCCUACCUAUCUUUUCAUUGCAAUUGACUGUUGUUUAAUGAUCUUUUUAUGGUAAUGUCCUUUCUCAAUCUGAAGUAAAGGGAAAGCACAUUGGAUCAAUGUUCAAAAACCCAGGAUAGAACUUCAAGAAAUCAAAUUACUUGCAAAUUCGUAUGUUGUUUACGUGACCAAUAAAGGAUUGUUUAUGAUUAAUUGGAAGCAACUGAAUCAGAACCAAAACUUGGCUAAUAUGGGCCAUAAGUACCUGAUUUAGAGAAUAUCUUUAAUAAUCAGGAAGUACAAGGGAUGUAUCCGAACACUGAAGAAGUUGCUUUCAGCAUUUGGUCCUCGAAAUCCGAAAGAGUACUUCCAGUUGCAAAGAUAGAUCGGAGAUUCAUAUUGUCUCUAGCAACUAUGUUGAUAAGCUGUGAAGAAGAUAGACCAUGAUCUGAAUUUUUUAUUCUUUUUCAGUUUUUAGCAUCCAAUAGGACAGAUUCAUCAAAGUAUUACUUUGUCAAAUGCCUAUAAAAGCAACAGUAAUUCAUACACAAUCCAUGGAAACAUGCCAUUGGCACAUUUUCAUAUACAUUGUGAAUGGAUUGGGACAGCAUUUAAAGUGCUUGUGACUUGCGAGACUGGUUAGGUCACUAUGAUCUCUGCUUGCAUCUGAAGCUCUGAUAAAGUAGUCAAGGAUAUCCUACAGUUGUUCCUGUAGCCCUUGCUUCAUCAAAGAAUCUCUGCAUCAAAAUGACAAGGCCUUUUUUUUUUACUCUAAAAAAGCAGUAACAUCAACUAGGAAAGAAAUCACACGUAUAAACCUUAGAUCUCCCUAUUCUAAGGCCAAUGAAAUGUGGCUCAAUUAGUGGAAGAAAAUCUAUGUAGCUUCUUCCUCUAACCCCUCUUCGUUUCCUCCAAAUUCCCUUUCAAAAAACAAACAAGUGGAACAUUUAACCCCUUCAACACUUUGGCAUAAUUUGGUUCUUCAACAUGACAUAAUUCAACAACUUAUAAAUGAAUACAUAAAUUUUCUCAUCAAAAUUCUUUGAUCAAUAACCAUACAAAUACCAACAAAACCUCACAAAGUAAUUACCUUUUGGCUUUUGAUAAAUCAAGCAAGCAAAUGUAAGACAUAGAAAAUCCAUAAUGUUCUAGGCAUGCCAGAACGUUUUCUUCACUCAAUUCAGUAGAUAGAUUUCAUAUGAGAUGGUUAAUAUGAAUCAACUAUGUUCAUGAAUGCAUUCUCCUGCACUUGAAUUUGGCAUUAUUUUCAGUUAGGCUAGGUCCAAACUAAAGAUUAAGAUUAGGCUCGCAUGUCUUUUUAUCUUAAAAGGUUUUAAGUCCAUUUCAGUUUCAUUGGGCUUCAGGUCCUCCAAUUAUCUCUGUAUAAAGCCCAUAUAUAAUAUGAAUAUUCCGGAGUGUCCUAGAAUUGAGGUGCUGGGGGUUUUGUCAUUGGCACAGGCCUCUGGAUAAUGUACUAGAAAAUGAUUUAAACCAAAAAAUAGAAUAAUCUUCUGAAUGCUAGAAUCGUCCAAAGUACUAUAAAAAAUCUUUUCAGGGUUAUCUGAAUACCCAGACAAGGAAAGCAAAGCAUAGAAAAAUUAAGACAGCUCUCUCAAUUUUCCUUACCAAAGUUUCUUGUAAUCUCGUUUUUCAUUCCUGAAAAUGUCUCUGAUUCCAAGCUUCUUUGGCCGCCGCAGCAAUGUCUUUGAUCCUUUCUCUCUUGAUGUUUGGGAUCCUUUCAAGGACUUCCCUUUCUCUUCUUCUUCACUCACCACACAAAUUCCAGAAACCUCAGCCUUUGUCAACACCCGAAUCGACUGGAAGGAAACCCCAGAGGCUCACGUGUUCAAGGCUGAUGUUCCAGGGCUUAGAAAGAAGAAGUGAAAGUUGAGGUUGAAGAUGACAGGGUGCUUCAGAUAAGCGGAGAGAGGAACGUAGAGAAGGAAGACAAGAACGACAAGUGGCAUAGCGUGGAACGUAGCAGUGGGAAGUUCAUGAGGAGGUUCAGGUUGCCUGAGAAUGCCAAGAUGGAUCAGAUCAAAGCUUCCAUGGAAAAUGGAGUGCUUACUGUGACUGUUCCAAAACCGGAAGUUAAAAAGCUUGAUGUCAAGGCUGUAGAGAUUUCUGGUUAAAAAUUGAACUCCAGUUUUUAAGCCGUCUAUCUCCUGAUGUACUACGACGUUUUUGUAUGAAGUUUGUGUGGUUCUGAGCUUUGCUACGUAGAAAAUAAAAAAAAUCUUGUUAACACUUAGCCUUCUUCCCUGUUUAUAAAAUUGUGGAUUUUGUAUGGAAUAGUUCUUCAUGAAACUUACUUUUGGACAAUAAAUAUACAAUUGCGUGUCAUAAUGUGCAUAAGCAUAAAUGAAAUAUACACGUGCAAGAACAAAAACUCAAGAGUCAAGACUAAUUCCUUGGGCUUGACGGUUUUCUGAUCUUAGUGAACUUUGCAAUCCUUGGCAGAGGCCGAAAUCACAGAGUUUGGUUUAGGAGUUUAGCAAGCUGAUACCAGACCCAGUCCUUCAAUUCAGCCUAAUUGGGGCUAAAACAUAUGCCAUUUGCCAAUGACAGCAUUUAGCUUUUGCAGGGUCAUGUGAGUCAUAUUGAUUAGAUGUAAAUAGUUAAAACUUUAAAGGAAUUUUAACCAAUAAUGGCUUGACUUUGUUAAUUUAGGUUGGUAAGAUAUAUUUUCUUAAUUCACUCAUGGAAUUGUAGAAAGAAGCCUUCUUGUCGCCUUUUCAAUCUAUAUGCUUACCAAGCUAUUGGCCAUUCCCAAACGUACUUUCCAUAUAUUGAUCACAAGUUUUCCAUCCACCCUUUGAUUCCCGAAACAUGGUUGACAUAUCAUUGCAACUCAUGCACAAUUACUUUCCAGGAUUGAGUUCCAGCCAUAAUGGCUCCAAAAACCUCGUAUGCCCUUAGGAGCCGAUACUUCCUUUUGGUGCCCCACUUCACGAUUAACCCUCCAUCUCCAAUAAUUUCAUUGAAAUCUUUAGGCAAUAAAAUGUGAACAUGGAUAAGGUGAAAGCUUCCAUUGAAAAUGGAGUUCUUACUGUUAUUGUUCCUAAGAAGGAAGUGAAGAAACCUGAUGUCAAAGCCAUCGAGAUUUCUGGUUGAAAACUUAAAGGUUUGAAUGAUAGACAUUUUCUUUGGAUUCAAUUAUAUAUUACUUCACUACAUAUUCUAACAUUGUUCUUAAAUUAGUAUUGUAAAUUUGUAAAUGUAACCGUCCUUUAGUUCUCUCUUCAAUCCUCCUUUUGGCUAAGUGAGAUGGUGUUGUUCAGGCCAAGGAAAAACCACCAAGUAGAUUCCUUUAAAAAAGUACAGAACUUGCACUGAUAAAACAUUUGCAACAAUUGUAGAGUUGUAACUAUUUUUGCGCAGUGGAAAGAAAUGCUACCAAGCUUUGAAAAGAAGUGGCACAGCUGCCAAUUGAAGUUCAGAACCAUUAUUUCUUUUUGGUACAUGGGGAAUAAAUAAAGCAUAAGGGAUUAAUUUCAUCUCUUAUAAUCAAUCUGAUGAUAUAUGCUUUACUAAAUCAUUCAAAUAAUUGCAGGAAGAACCUCCCUUUUGUAGUCAUUUUUUGUGAUGUUCUCUCAUUUCUAUAUCCGGACUAAAAAAAAUUAUUAUGUUAUAAUUUAUAUCGAUAUUUUAAAUAUAAUUUUUUUUUAUUUUUUAAAUCUCGUAUAUAAUUUUUUAAUUUAUAAUUUUAUCUUUUUAAUUAUUUUUAUAAAUAUUAUCGAUUAAUGUUUAAAAUUAAAAAAAAUGAUACAAAUACCCAACAAAGACAAUACAAUUAUAGUUAUAAACCUCGGCAAUAUGCCAGCAGAAGUGAAUGGGCUAGGCGAGGCCCAUUUGAGAGCCGAAUGAGGAAGAUAAUCCAGGUUCCUGGGGAGAACCGUGGAAGGCCCUUGAGUUUACAAGAAACUUCGAGGCCUAAAAUUGCUUGCCCGGGAAAGUACUGGAAUCUUCCUUUGCAUCGUUUAAAUACCCAACCUAUCUCUCCCACUAGAAUCAAGAAAUACAAGAAACGAAGCAAGAAAAAUACGACUCUGAUUCGCCAAAUCCCAACCAACUUAGAAGCAAUUCCAAGAAAUCGAGGAAGAAAAUGUCUCUGAUCCCAAGUUUUUUUGGCAACCGACGAGGCAACAAUUUCGAUUCCAUCUCUGUCGACGCAUAGGAUCCCUUCAAGAAUUUCUCAUCACCUUUUCCAGGAAACUCCGCCUUCGUCAGCACUUGCGUGUUGGACUGGAAAAAGAAACCCCGAAGCCAUUGUGUUCAAGCCGAUCUUCCUGGAUGAAGAAAGAGUGGAAGUGAAGUGGCAGAUCAGAUGGACAGGCUGCUUCAAUCCAGCAGAGAGAGAGUAUGAAAGGUAAGAGAGAAAAUGAUACGUACAAUACAUGGAAGACGGGACGCAAGAUGAUCAUGAGGAGGUUUAGGUUGCCUGAGAAUGUGAAAAUGGAUCAAGUUUAAAGCUUCUAUUGGAACAAUGGGGGUUCCACCGUUACUGUUCCCAAGGAGGAAUGAAGAAUCCUGAUAUCAAGACUAUUCAGGAUUUCUGGUUGAAGUUUGAGUUCUGACGUGAGGAAAUCCUAGCAAUAGUAAUGCUUUAAGGGAUUGUCGUGUGUUGAUUAGAGUUUGCUGUUAAUAUUGGAUGUCGUCCGGUUUUUUUUUUGGCAGUAUUGCAAUUGUGGUUAA